rnacentral:lncRNA from 1 species
GCGUGGCACAAAGCCCAAUGUUCAAAGAAAUAUCCUAGGGUGAAAAAAGAACCUUCAUUCAAACUCAUCGCUGCUUUUGAACUUAAAGGAUCAGUCUAGGGAACGUAAUUUCAUAGCACAUGAAAAAGCGAAGCUCGAGACAAAAGAUCCUAACGAGAUUCUAUUCGGAAUUCUUAUAUGUCGAGACGGUAUCAGACAGAGCAAUCUGAUCAAAUUCAUUCAAUGAUCUCGAGACGUCAUCCCUCUGAGCGCUAAAGCUAAAGCAGCCUGGUGAAUGAUAGGAGGGCGGUCUUGAUUUGUAUUAUUAUGGUGUGUUCUAUCCGAGGGGGGGUCUUCGUUUAGUCUAUUGGUAUGGUAUUCUCUCUUUCAUUCAUUUUUGGGCGGAAGGUAUUCUCAUGUGGGUGCGUACUGCUUCUUUUCCUGCUACACCCGGAAUACUGUCAGUUCCAAACCUCCUGUGAGUGACUAUAAACGAUUAUGUCAUCGAGUGGUCAAGGUAAGAGUUUUUUUUAUCCAUUGUUGUGCGGAAGAAGACCAGAAUUAGGACGAUAUUCAUCGAUCAGUUACUCUUUGUCUACGUUAUGGAGUCUCCACUCCAUGUUGAAAGCUCUUUCAAAUAGCAUGAGCGUUGAAAGUAUGAAAUUAGACGUUAGCCUUAGAUUCUUUUUUUGACUUCUUGAGAAGACUGCUUUCCUUUGAAAGAGCUGUGGGCAUAGCUAAACUUUCUCAAAUGCGGGAUCGGGAUUUCUUUCCUCUUGAUGCGGUAGAAGAGGUCUAGUCUAGGUCAUUUCUUUUGCUAGAGAAUAUGUUGGCAAUGAUCCUUUUAUGGGAAGGGAAUCGCUAAGACCAAUCAUUCCCUAGUCUCGCCUAUAUCCUAUUGCUAUUAUAGCUGGGAUCUUCCCUAGCGGUAGAAGAGGUAAUAUCAUAUAAGUCUAGUCUCAAAUCAUUCCUUUAGUUCCAUUCGCUCCUAAAGCUGCAACUCUUCUUUUAACGUGGGGUGGGCAUAAGAGUAACUAGCUUGCUUCUACUUCUUCCAAAGAUUACCCGGAUACCCAAGUAGCAUAUCCCUCCGUAAUAUCUCUUAUAGAGUCUCAAUAAGUGAGAAGUUCCUCCCUUUUCAUACUGUCAAAUACAGGAUCAGAAUUCAAAAGGAUACCGCUUUCGACUUUCCUGUCUUACCUUUUCACAUAAGUUCCAUUCCAAUGUAUGCAAUCUAGAACAUCGUACAGGAUCAUCGCAUAGACGGACUACUUUGCUUGCUUUUUCCUUUACUGAAUAAGUGUAACUGCGGAAGACUUUGCUCUAUGUAGGAAAGUACUAGAGUGGAGUGCCCUGCCCACCUGAAAGAUCUCCUUCAGGGCUUGGACAAGAUUUGGAUCUGUCUUCUAUCUGGUACACAAGAAACUAAGCCAAUCCCUUUUGGAGCUACCUCUGAAUCCGCAAUGAGAAUGCCAAUGAAUUUUGAAUAGGUAAGUCAAUCUUCGCCGAAGCUAACAUCAUCUUUAUCACGACGAGCUGGGAUCGAAGGGAAAAAUAGUGGCUCGACUUUAUUUACGAGAAAGAGGAGGUAACCAGCUUUUGAAGGACCGAAUAGGGAGAGGUACUUGGGUACUAAAGAGAUUGAAUUGAACCUUUAGCUUUAGCAGAGAUCAGGGAUUCCCAAUAAGCAGAUAGUUCAGUUCGAAGGGAAAGAAAGAAGUCAUAGUUAGGCGAGGUUACCAGAUGCUAACUAAACUUCAGACUAAGCAGCAGACGCAAAGUCAGCACUCGAUCGACCUUAACCGCCAUAAGCAUACCCCAGAUUUCAGGGAAUAGGAAAUUGGGUACUCGACAGAAGAGAAGGUCGGGAAGAGUUUCCUAAGUGAAGGAAGACGGAGCGGGAAAGUCAAUGAACAGGGGAGCGAACUAGUCGAUCGACUAAGGCCGUUGCAGGUGGCUUGAGAAUGAGGCUAGGUCCCUUUUCCCGACAACAGAUCUCCGAUCUGACUUUCUCAAGUCAUACGUCUUUUGUUCAGCCAACAGUCUUCCACUCUACUUAUUAUGACUUACUAGCGCCCUUCACUUCAAGUCAUACGCCUUUUGUUCAGCUUAUUUCCAAAUCAAAGCUACUUGCUUAUAAGAGAAGAGCAAGGUGCGUAGCUUACUUGGUAAAGGACUCCCUAUAGUUGCGGAAUAUGCUUUUUGCCGCUAGUAAUUAAGCGUCUUUCCCUACGCUAAGCUUCCUCUCCUUGUGCGGAGCUUCCCUUCUUUCGCUAACUCGCUCUUCUGGGCAAGACGUUGUGACUUCAUUCCUACCCCCUAUAGUAUAAGAAAAGAAAAAAUGCAUUUCUUAACAGCACGGUACUCGGCUUCUUCUUUCUGGAUCAAGUCCCAGGUCAGAUCUGAGAGCGAAAGCUGUAGGUAGGGUUGGAGACCGACGAGGCUGGAGCUGUUCUCGAUCCGGCCAUGCAAUAAAUGAUACAUUUUCCGCCGAUGGUCGUGGGCUGUCUUGUUAAUAGCUCAUGAAGUAGAGCCAGAAUUCAGGGGUGAUGAUCCGCCCACACAAUUGGUAGUAUGAGAGGCUGCCACUUGGGGCCUAUAGAUUCCAUAUCCAAAGGCAACUCAGAAUGGCUAGGAAGGAAGAAAGCAUAGAAUGAAGAUUUCAAGAAGAUCUCUGUCAAGCCGAUGUUGAAGGGGCGAAGCAGCUUUACCGAGUUGACGAGGUGCAAAGAAUAUUGCGUUGACAGGUCCGAAGGCUAGGCGCAAAGUUCGGUUAAUUACGGAAAGUCCUACUUCCUUCUAAUGGAUAGUCCUCCUUCGGUUAAUUACGGAUGGUCCUACUUCCAUAUGGAUAGUCCUACGGAUAAGAAUCCUGCGGACUCCGGACUACGGAUAAGAAUCCUGCGGACUCCGGACCCUGGACCUUUCUUUGAUGGACAGGUGACGGGGGAUUUUAGACGAACUUGAACUGAAGAUCUUUCGAGAAAAAAGAGAGGAAGCCAGAAUGAAAUAAGUUACUACUAUCUAUGACUGGCCAGCGGGCGCUACUAUAUGUAUAGAAAAAGGAUAGGAGAGAACAAGGGCAUCUCAUUGAUUCUUGAAACCAAAGAUUCAGGCGGGAUGUCAGCAGAUGAAGGGAUAGAAGAUCAAUUUGUCCCUGAAGCAACUUCUUCCUCAACUCUUCUUCUUAUAGUGGAUGUGAUGGAAGUCGGCUAUAGCAACUAAAGACUCAGCAAGCGGUUGAAUAAAUAAGUGCUUGAAGAAUGAAAUUGCUACAAGAAGUCGAAAGUCUUAGUGAGACUUACCGCGUAGUGGGCGGGAACUUCUCUUGAGUGCCUUAGACUUCGUAUCCAUGGAGGCUCCAAAAGGAAACCUUCUCUCUCUGGCUUGAAUCUCCUUCGCCUAUUUUUUGGUCCGAAGGACUGAUUAUUGAAAGGUAGAAAACUCCUACAAGAUCCAGUCCGGAGUGCCAAAGAAAGGAAAGGUCCAGGGUCCGCAGUCCGCAGUCCGCAGGAUUUAUCCGUAGUCCGGAGUCCUACGUCCGCAGGAUUUAUCCGUAGUCCGGAGUCCGGAGGAUUCUUAUCCGUAGGACUAUCCAUUAGAAGUAGGACCAUCCAUAUGGAGGGAAGUAGUCCGGAGGAUUUAUCCGUAGGACCAUCCGUAAUUAACCGAAGUAGGACCAUCCAUAUGGGCCAAAGAAAGGUCCAGGUGAUUUAUCCGUAGGACCAUCCAUAUGGAAGGAAGUAGGACCAUCCGUAAUUAACCGAAGGACUCUAAAACGGAGUGGGCCAUGAUCUUUGCUCCUUAAUAGAAAGCCGAGCCUUUAUUUGCAAUAUUCUUUGCGCCUUCCAGUCCGGAGGAUUUAUCCGUAGGACUCUAAAACGGAGGACCUGUUCAUUGACUUUAUUCCGCUCCGUCUUCUUGAAUCUCAAUUCAAACUUCCUAUAUCCUCUUAUGAUACAAAGUCCUUAACUUAAGGACUCAAAUUCUUUCUCACGCAAUAUUCUUUGUCACGCAUAUUUCAUUGCGCCUCCCCUAUCCUUGUUCAUUGAUCCUUGCCAAUAACAUCGAUCAGUCCUUUUUCUUUAUCAAGCUUAACUUCUUUGAGAGUUGCUGGCUGUGAGUCGAAAGACCUCUUUUUGGUGUGAGCUUUCUCCCAUUAUUUCUUUUCUUUCUCAGGUGGGUAUAAAUGCCUUGCCUUUCUUACUGGUCUUUCAGGCACUAUCUACAGACUAUCGAAAACAAGAAAAGGAUCUGGGCCUAGAGAAAAGAUGCCGAUGCCUUGGAAUGGAAGCAUUGAUCUCAUUUUUGCUUUGACUUUGUGGGGUUCAGGGAUUGAGUUAGGAAGCCAUGACGAAUCCGUCGGCAGUGUCUUCAACCUAUGAGAAGGUUGGUCUCAGAAUUCGAGAGAGAGAUUAGUGCUUAGUGCGCAGCAGGAUACUUGACGGAUGUGGCCAAGUCUUUUUCAAGUGCAGACGGAGGCCUCUUCGCUGGCCUUCUUUUUGAUGAUAAAGAAAUGCUUUAGUGAAGGACUAGAAGGCGCGCUUUAUAAGGCUCCAAAGACCAAUGCUGAAUCUUGUCAAUCCACUUCAAACCUGUGAGUCUUUAGGGGAAAAUAAAUAGGUAAGACUUGGAAUUAGCCAAAGUCAAAGUAUGAGUAGGAAGCAAUGCAUUCAAUGAAAUUCAUCCAUCUGCCAUAGCCCCAACUGGGGAUGCCUAAUAUCAAUCUAGAAAGAGAAAAAGAAGUGAGUUCAGUUUCAGGCACAGACCGUGAAGAAUGAACUUUGCCUCCGCACUCGCCUUCCUUCUAAGGAUCGAACUUACGUCUGAGCUCCUAAGGAUGCCUCAUCUUCCUUCCUCUCUUCCUAGCAGUGAGGUAAAGGCUCUUUCUCGAGAAAAAAUAAAGGCCCCUUGAACUCAUUUUUCUUGAUCCCAACUCAUUUGUCAGAAUAAAAGGCGGUUAUUUGACUAAAGAAUCCAUUUUGAUGAUAAAUACUGGCAUAAAAAGAAUACAAUAAGAGUGAGAACGCAAUAUUAUGUGCACCUUGAUUCAGAGUUUUUCUCAUUGUGCACAUUGAAUAACCCCCGUAUCCCCUUAAUCAGGCUGAUUAUUGCAGACUUUGGAGCCCUAGGCUUUUUAAUUAGUGGAAUAAGACUGAAAUAGUGGUCCUACGUCCGGAGUCCGCAGUGCCAAAGAAAGGUCCAGGGUCCGGAGUCCGCAGUCCGCAGGAUUUAUCCGGAGGACCAUCAAAGAAAGGUCCAGGUGAUUUAUCCGUAGGACCAUCCAUAUGGAAGGAAGUAGUCCGGAGGAUUUAUCCGUAGGACCAUCCGUAAUUAACAGAAGUAGGACUAUCCGUAAUUAACCGAAGUAGUCCGGAGGACUUUCCGUAAUUAACCGAACUUUGCGCCUGGACCUUUCUUUUUGGAGCCCUCGAAACUGAUAAUGGGGAUGAAUAGUCACCUGGACCUUUCUUUGAGAAAUUCAUGGAUAGGGCUCUGAGGCUACGUGGGCCCUUGUUCAUUGAUUCUCAUUCCACUGAGACUUAUCGUUAAUGAGCUGCUGCUAAGCUAAACCUUCAGAAAGCCCUAAUCCUUCUGAUGAAAGACCAAAAAUUCCGAUCGAGGAGACUAGUGCUUUAGCUCUUGUCUCUGCCACAGCUCCCAACUAAGCUUCAACGGAAAGUCAAUGAACAAGGUCCCCUAUCCAGAGUAAAUGGCCUAACCUCUUCUUCUUCCUUAGCUGUCGAGCUACUCUCGCUAUUUCAUCCCUUCUAUUCGUUCAUCAUAUAGAAUAUUCAUAAUCGCACAGAAGAGCAGCUGAGCACCUAUUUGAUGUCGACUUAUGCCUAUUGAUAUUGGUUGGUCGAGCAGUUCCACUCCGAUCCCACGAAGGCCCUUCCUCUUCCCCCUACGUGGGGGUCUAGAAUUUCAUCCUCUGUAGCCUGAAUUCACAAGGUUCAAAGAAUAUUUCAUUCCACGAAAGACCCGAAACUCAGUAGUUGACCUAUGAUAUUCAUACCUCUCCCACUCUGUAAAGCCUAAAAAUCACCCAUGGAGCGGUAAAUCCGGUAUCGCUUCCUCUCCUUUGGUCGAGACUAAUAACCUCGUAUUCCUCAGAGAUCUUUCUUGUUCACUCAUUCCCGUACUCAUAUGAUGACGCAGCUGAAUAGAAUGAAACCUAUUCCGCCACCUCGCAUAUUGAAUUGCGCCUUCUAUAUAUUCUUUGCACCGCUCCGUGGGUCCUAUCCAUUUAACCGAGCCUAUCUCCUCAACUCGAAGAAGAGAUGACGCAAGGGCAGCAGAUCGAAUCGAAGGAGUUUAGCUCGAACCCCGCGUAAGGAUCUUCCCCCCGAGUUUUCUUUGAAUGUGAAUGAAAUCAAGCCUUUUCUUUACUAGCUCAUUCAAUGGUCAAAUCAUCCUGGACCAGUCAAAAGCGAAAUCAGGCAUGAAAGAGCGGAUCGAGCGGACUAGUGCCUCCAUGGCUACCUCGGAACCCCACUUAUGAAAGGUAAAAGGAAGAAAGCCUAUCCGUCUACAGCUCAGUCGAGGGCUUUCCCACUAUUACGACGAAAAAAGCCUGGCCCUCUUCCUCCGUCUCUUCCAAGUCAUCCUACGAGGCUGCGAACGUGCUUUUCUCAAAAGUGUCCUGAGACUGAGAAUGAUCUUUUUCUACUUUCAUCCUAGAACCUACUAUUUGGAAGAAAGCCUAUCUUCCUUCAAGUUCAAGCAGCCUAGGGAAGAAAGAAAGUAUCUCCAGGAAAGCCUAGACACAAAGAACUAGAAAGAAAGGAUAGGCUUGAAUCCCCUAUUAGCCGUUUUUAGGGGUAGAAGGAUCAAAGAAUGAUCGAAGUGGACCUACUAAUAUGAAAUAAAAGGAAGAAAGAGAGAGUCCGACGCGUAGUAGUAGAAGGACGUAGAAGUCCUCCGUAGGAGUCUUAUUCCUUGCCUCCUUCCCCAUAAAGAGUGUUUUUUAGUCACUUUUGGGUAUGGCUGGAUAGGGGUUGUGCAGUCAUUUUUCAUGGAUAAAGAAGUCCUUCGCUUUUUAGUGGAUCUAAUGGACACUCAUCUGGAGCUUGAUUUCUCUUUGAACUUUGCUCCGUCGGAGCGCGGAGGAGGAGGCUCCAUAAGACAGGGAUAUUGUAGGUCCGACCGCUAAAUUCAAUGGACCUAACCUAAUGGAUAGUCAUCCGUCCGAAGUCCGGAGGGCGAGACUGGUCCGGAGGACUUCGGACGGAUGAAAGUAGCUACGUAGUACUCAAAUAUCCUCUUAUUCUACAAAGUCCUUAAGGACUCAAAUUCUUUGAGCGUCCCCAUUUUUUCUUGUCUUUCCUAUGCCUUGAACUCUGAAACUGACUGAACUUUCUCAAUAUUCUUUCGAAAUCUUCUUUGAGCCUUAUAAUUGAGCCGCUCUCGCAAGUCAAAUUCUCUAAUGGAUAGGCCUUCGCAAUAUGCUUUGCGCCUCUCCUCCAAACAGUCCUCGCCCAUGGAGAUGCUCCAACUAACCUCUGCGGUCAGUCCUUCGGACCAGCUGACUAUCCAUUAGAUCCAUUGAAUUUCUUAGAAUGUUCACUAAAAACCGAUGUUCAUUGAACCGCGUAGGAGGAGCAAAGAAUUUGAUCUUUAUCCCAAUCCAGAAAAGUAGGCUAAUCAAUAUAUAAAGAAAAAGAGCCUCAACUGCGCCUAGGUCUGAUUCCACUAAAAAAUGACGACGGAGCACUCCUCCUACGUUUUAAGACUCCUUCCUAUUUUUAGGACGAGUCUGAUUCCAAAAAAGUCUUUAUAUAUUGAUUAGACCACAGGUCCGAAGGACAGACAGGCGCAUUGAAUAGAUUAUGCUGAAGGAGGGUCAAAGAAUAUUUCAUCCUUGCACUCCGUCCUCUUGACUCGUUUUCUCUUCUUAGAUAAAUGCGCUUCGCUUCUCUCAAAUUCUUUGAGCCUACGCUUCUCGAAAAUUUCAUUCAGCCUAGCUGGAAAAAGAAAGAAUCUCAUCGCCUCAAUAUCCUUUGAGCCUUGUGCAAAGAAUAUUGCGAAACCGAUGUUCUAUUGAGACCUUUUGACUCGUUUAUGGAACUGAAACUUUCCGAUGCAGCAAGGAAAAACUUCCUACUCAAGAGCUAUUUGUUGUCGAGCUACUUGUUGUCAGUCUGCCGAAAGAGAUACGAAUUCCGCCGAUCCAAAAGAAGAGAAUGGCGAUCAGAAUGAUCGAAGAAUAUAAUAUUGAAAAGAGCUCGAAAAGUGAAGAGAAGGUCGUACGCCACUGGCAAUCAAAACCAAGUCCCUGGCGGCUGCACUAUAAGAAAAAUGAAAGAAAGAUUCCCGCCCGAACUAACUGUCGACAGCAAGAGGUAGUAACUCGAGCAAGCAAUCGGGGAACCGUAGGAGGCGCACCCAUCUCAUCGCACAAUUCGCAGUUGAGGAUGACUGAGAGAAGGAACCUAACUUCUCUUGCUUUUUCAAAAGAUCAAUCCUGGGAUUUCUCCCCGUCCUUUUUCAUGAAUAUGGAUAGUCAGCUGGUCCGAAGGACUGACCGCAGAGGUUUUUAGGAUCUGUGGAAUCUUUUCUACAUCUACAUUUUUUUGAAGUAAUAGCUAUGAAUAGUCCAAAAAAGAAAGGCGCAAAGAAUAUAUAGAGGAGGAGUCUUAUUCCAAAAAUAGGCGUCCUUCGCCUAAUUCAUAUGGGGAUCUGGACGGCGGAGGAGGAGCAAAGAAUAUUGCCUUCCAUGCCGCUCCGAAGAGGAGGUUCAAAGAAUGAUCGAGGUCCGGAGGACGGGUCGAAAGGUCACAGGCAUUAAAUUAAGGAGAGGUCCUGGAUACGGCGGUGCUGGAUACAGAACAUUACAUGAAGAGCGAAGUAGGGUGGGAAAGAAAGGAAGAGUACGACCGAGACCUAGUUUGCCAGCAGAGUUGGAGGGUCACGACCGACCAGAUUGACCUUCUGUCCCCGCGGGAUUAGAUCUUUCUUUAGUAGCCGCCGUGCAGACUUUAUGGCUUUUUUCUGAAUUUUCUUGAUCCUUCGCAAUAUUCUUUGCGCCUCUUGGCCAUUAAUGAGUCGUACGUAACCACACAAAGAAAAAAGAGAAAGACACCCAUGGGGAAUCCUAAUCCGUCACAGUUGCGGCUUGGAAGCCCACGUAGCGGUGCGAACUCGAAGUCCCAGGAUCAGCUGAUAAGGAAUCCUGAAGCUCAAAUUCAGUCAAGAUGGCUUCUUUCUUUAUCUUGCUUCUUUAAGGAGAAGAAGUGCUUGCCCCUAGCUUGAUCUUCCCCUUCCACUCUGCUCUUAGAAGGCGCAAAGAAUUUGCGAAGAAGGCUGGUUAAUAUGGAUAGGACUGAGGACGGGGGAUUUGAGGAUGAGAUGAUUCCUUUCAUUAUUGCAGCUGCUUAAAAAAAAAAGUGGAAUAUUGCGCUCAUGAUUCCGCUAAAAGUCGCAGACGCUAGGCUCCCAUAAGACUAAAUGUGGGGCGCAGUUGCGCAAAGAAUAUUGCUCAGAUUUUCGGUUCAUCUUUAAGGGGAGCGGGAUCCCCAUUUUUUCUUAGUGGAAUGAACGAGGUCCGGAGGACGGAAUAAAAAGAAGAAUUCAAGGCGCAAAGAAUAUUGCGAGACAAGACUACGUAGCUACUUUCAUCUUCUAUAUUCCCGAACAUAUUAGUGGAAUCUUUUCUACAUCUACAUUCUUAAAAGAAAGCCUAUCCGCUCUGAAUUUGCAAAGAUGUCCUUAGCAAUGAGACCGUCGGAGGCUAAAAUCAAGGCUCCAAAAACAAAGGCGCAAAGAAUAUUGCGUUAGAAAUCGCCUCAAUGAACUUUGCUCCGUCGGCUCCAUAAGACAGGUCCGAAGGACUAUCCAUCAGGAAGGCUCAAAGAAUUAUCUCAAGAAAUAGGAUGAAUACUUUUUCUCAAUAUGAAAAGAGCCUAAUACUUCGGAUAUUGAUAGAUGAAAAAUAGCAUUUUACCAGUCCGAAGGAACAAGAACUUACUAGGGGUCCGACUAUCCACUCUUCCCAUAAAAAUGAAAUGAUCUUGAUUUUCUCGUCUACUUAAAUGAAAGCAGGAACAUAAAAGAAAAGAAAGUUCAGUCAGGAAAGCCUACCAUAACAUGAAAGUGGAAUAACGGGGGGUCAAAUAGGGCUUUCCCCCAUUUCUUUGUUAUCAAAUAGAGUCCAAAUCUAGGAUAGAAGGAGCUCGACUCUUAUGUUAAGGAGAGAGAAAAGAGGAAAGAACUUUCAGAAAACCAUGGGGCUCACUCAAUUGGGGGAUUCCCCCUCACAGCCCACUACGCGCUUCCUUCCCACUUCCAUUCUUCCUUCAUCACCUUCUUUUCAAGUCUUUAUGGUUUUUCAGACACCCCAAGUAUUGUAUCCAUCAAGCCCACUACGCGCUUAGAAUAAGCGAGACCACAUACUAAGAAAGAAAGAGAGAGGCUGACUUCUUUUGUCUUCCCUGGACGGGUGGUUGGAGCCAUAGCCAUUGCUCUUUCAGUUCUGUCAAAUAAAGGGUAAUUCUUUCAUCCGGCCGUAAGCGAAGCGAGGAGGUUCUGUCUUCAUUCCCGCCUAUUCAUACCAACGAGUAGAGUUUCCGUAGUGACUACAGAGUCAUUGAAUGAGAAUUCCCUUGGGAUUUUGAUUAUGAUUUAGCAUGAAUUCGCCCGAAUGAGAAUGCGUGAAGGAGUUCCAGACCGAUCUCCGUCAGUUGAUGUCCCCGUGCGGGGUAGGUUCUGGCUCUUGGGUCCGUACCUCUUGCUUGCACCAGUUGCUCUUUCAGAAAGAGAAUGGAAUGCAUAAAAAAAAAUCUGACUUGGUCUUGAGUGUAACGUCCCUAGUGGGAUCUACGUGUGGAACUGCUCGACCAGAAGAUCAGUUUCAGAAAGACAAGAAGAGAAGAAGAGCUUUCUCAACUUUGCCUAUCUUAUUAUAGAUUCAGAAAGAGAAGACGAAGAAGAACAGCCACACCCCAAUCAAUGAACAAGUUCAGACGAGAGGGAGCCUACGGCAAAGGAUAGGAGGCAAGAUUAUUCCAUAGCGAGCAUAAUAGUACUUUGUCUUAGCUUUCUUUUAAGAAUGUAGAUGUAGAAAAGAUUCCACAGGCUCCAUAAGACAGGUCCGAAGGACUAUCCAUUAGGGGAUUGAGAAGAUUCUUUAUAUAUUGAUUCUUUUAGUGUGGAAGUUUGAUUCGAUCGACCACAGAAAAGCUUACCGAAGAUGGUCGUUCAUUAAGAACGAAGGCAGAUCAAAUCAAGAAGAUUCCUGUUGCGGACGAAAGGUAAUUAUCUCUUGAACCUGGAUUGGAUGAGGGAUAGAUGAUCCCCAGGACUAGAAAGAAGGGAAAGCGUCAACGGAGAUAGGGUCUUUCAGUUGCAUAAGAUAGGGUUGCUGCGUCAUCAGAUCAAUAGUCCGCGCGAACUAGGGUAGAUUUCUUGAAGCACUAGGUUGCGAACUUGAAGCAUGCUGUGCCUUUUCACGGGCUGAAAUUUCUCCUUUUCGGGAUCAAUCGUAUUCCAGACCAGACCGGAUUGAGGAGACCUUUUGAAGUAGGUCAAUCUGUCCCAAUAGAAUGAGAAGGAUUAUGCCCGAGAUCUGCCCACGGAGCGGUGCGAGACAGGACGCGCGCGAGAACUCUAGAUUGAGGAGUGGUCUUUGUCCGAUCUGAAUAUUCAAAGGAAAUGCAAACUGAUCCUUUUCAUCCUUUGAGACUUGGUGCCCUUUGCUGAUAAAUGAGAUCUUUGAAUUUGACAGUCAAAAGGUUUUGACUUGCCUAGGGCAUGACUAACUCCCUAACAAAUGGCGGAGGUUCCAACUUGCUAAUGCAUUCCCCGGGAAAAAGGAGAUUCAAAGCCAGCGCUCGAGUGAGUUUACAAACGAGAGGAGUGAAACCGCAAGACUGUCAAAAUCAAGCUCCAGAUGAGUUGACGACUCGCAGAGGAGAGGAGAAGUGCUUUAUCAAAAUCUUAUUGAAUCUUAUUAUUUCAUUCGCACUUGAGCAGGUCCCCGCUACGCGGUUGGUUAUAAAAAGAUUACGAGAAAUAGACAGAAAAUUUCUUUCUUAUCGAAUUCUAGAUAUUAUUAGAUGCACUUAUAGAUUAUCUUUGAUUUAAGGCCUAAGCUCAUCAUUAAGAAGGAGAAAGAGAAUAAGAGUUCUUGAUCUGAACUUCAGAUUCAUAUCGGAUUAUGAGCCAUUCUUAUAUAAUCCAUUUCAUAUCUGUAUUCAUCGCAAUUCGCAUCUGAAAAUUCAUUGAAUAGGCGAUCAGGCUGAAUUCAUUGAGAAGGGACUGGGAAGGAGCGGAAGACGUAGCGGUGUGGGCGAAGCGAUUCAGGGGAGUGCAAGUGCACACAACAAGGAUAGGAGAGCGAUUAUGAAAUAAACAAGGGCAAAGCCGAAACCUACGGGCAGAGGAUCAGAGUUGGUACAGGGGACGGGUGGUAUGAAUUUCGUUGACUAAUAUAGCAAUCGUUCAGACCAAAAAAAGACGAAAAAUGCAAUUUCCUUAGGACGAAAUUUCUCUUAAUAAGGCCGCCCAGUUCACCCGGAAAUAGAUAGUGAAGACUCAUUCUCAGUAGUAGCCAUGUCUGAAUAAUCAGAGGUAGGAUUCUUCAUAGGCAUCAUGAUUUCCUUUGAUCUGGAGUUGGGGCAGUCUGAGUCCGCUCUUUCUAAGGGGAACAAAGCCUUGAAUGAUCAGUUUCCCGAAGAGUAUAUUCACUCAAUUCUCAAUUUCUAGGUUAGACAAGGAGUUGAGAGGAAGAAAGAUCCCGUAUCUCCACCCGCUGUGCAGAAUCAGAAAUCGGAAUUCGACUGAGUUAGAAGACCAAAUAAGCGGAAGACUCGGUUUAGGAAGCAUGAGAUGAGGAAGGAGGGGCAAUUGAUCAGGGAUACCGGCUAAGUCCUCUUUGAAUUGUCCUCAGGAAUUUUCUAACGGAAGAGUUUGAGAAGAGAGCGAAUUAGUUCAUUUGAGUCAAACCCGGAAAGAAUCAUAAAGGCUAGGAUUAUGAGUGGAAGGCAGGGUCAACUCUCAAGUUUCGGGAUAGGGUCGAUGUAAUUGAGCUUGACGUGCGAUAUAAAGGAGAGGUGCCCACGUGAUCUUUUAUCAAUCCUAUGAGAAGAAGAAGAGAGCGCUCCGGUCCUCUCUGUCUUUGGAUAGGCGGGAUAGGUAUUCUUACUCGUAUUCUCUUGAAUAGGCAGAGUAAUCGUAAUCUUUCUCUCUUUCGUACAAAGGUAAAGCUAGUAAUCUCUCCGUCUUGAACCCACGUAGCGGGAAUCUUCUUUGAUCUUUGAAUUGCUCUUUCCCGAUAGAUAUGGAGCGCGAAGCUGUUACCGAGAACGAGAGGGAUUACUAAGCUUCUCGACCACUAUUCCACUACUAUGAAAAAUGAGUAGGAUUACUCUCGACUCUCCGCAGUCUUCUCGGGUUAGGAGCUGUAUUCUCAGCCCAGACGGCGGGAGAGAAGGGAACCGCGUAGUGGGUCAGAUGCUCGGGUACGGGGAGUCAUCAAUCUGCCCAAGGCUAAUAGCAUGGGAUUCUUAAGACAAAGUGGACCCCAAAGAUAAAGAGAGAAUGAGCGAAGGGAGGAGACAAGACCAGGAGCCCCCACUAACCCCUAUCUAUUCAGGCUUUCUGAUCGAUCGGAAGAAGGAGCGACCGACAUAAAAGAAGGAGAGAUCCAUAAGGAUAGGACAAAGCCCACGGAGCGGGCGAGACUGAGUUCACGAGAAAGAGGGAGCACGUCAAGGAGAGGAGAAAGCGGAGUGGGCCUAGUGGGAUCAGAGUGAAAAGAGUUCUUCCUCUUCGGUCGAGAACCUAUCUGAUCAUUAUAUAGCGCGGCCCUCGUCAUUCUGCUUUGUCAACCUUUUCACGGAUGACUGUGAACCCUUUGCUCCUGGUCGUCAACUCAUCUGGAGCUUGAUUUUGCUUUUCCUUUUGAGUGGGUGGGUGGGUAAAGAAAAAGAGUAAAAUCGAGAACAUAAAGAUCUUAAUCUAUUUAAGAGGAAAUCUUCCUCUUUUUGUGAGGAAGGACAUCAAAUAGAGGGACCUCCUUGGCUUGCUUUCAUCUCAGCCUGGAAUUCCUCAAAUUCCUUCUUUCUUAGUGCGAAUGUGAAAUUCCCCCACGUAGCGCUUAUUCCAUUCCACCAGGAUCUAGCGAAGGAGGAGAGAGCGGCUCUCCGGAGUUAUUCCAUUGGGUAACUGAAAUAGGCUUUCCCCUUAAUAUAAUAAGUGGGGUAGGCGGAACAUCCGAAUGAGAAGGUUUCGGGCGAGUCAGUGGCUGUCUAACCUCGAAAGAGAAGUGAAGUUGACGUAGAAAAAGCUUCGGAUUUGAAUGAGUCUCACUUCAAGAGUCGUCAGUCUGUCUCGGCAGACGGGGAAGAUCAAGAGAGUCUCCCCAUUGAUCAAGGGAAUUCCCAGUACUCAAAGCAAGGGUUAUUCUCAACGGUUCCAUAAGGGAGAAAGAGGAAGCUAGGUAAGAGUCCGCUAGAACUAGUAGAUUAGGAGGGAAUUUCUUCGUUAGCAUCUCGGAUUAGUCAAGAGGAAAUAAGAGUGAGAAUGAUCUCUUUCGACUAGCCCGCUCUCACCCACGGAGCAGUUAAGUUCCAUAAAUCAGUCCAAGAACAAUGAAAAGGAAUGAAAGCCUAGGCAACGGAAAAUAGUAUGAAUCCUUGAAUUGAAAGUCAUAAAAAGAAGACAUAAAGGAAUAUUGCUCGGAGUCCUACGUGCCAAAGAAAGGUCCAGGGUCCGGAGUCCGCAGUCCGCAGGGCCAAAGAAAGGUCCAGGUGAUUUAUCCGUAGGACCAUCCAUAUGGAGGGAAGGAGUCCGGAGGAUUUAUCCGUAGGACCAUCCGUAAUUAACCGAAGUAGUCCGGAGUCCGGAGGAUUCUUAUCCGUAGGACUAUCCAUAUGGAAGUAGGACCAUCCGUAAUUAACCGAAGUAGGACCAUCCGUAAUUAACAGAAGUAGGACCAUCCGUAAUUAACCGAACUUUGCGCCUGGAAGUCUAGUCAAUAUUCUUUGAACCUUCGGACCCCAGGUUAAUAUGUCCUUAUCAAUGAGACCCCUCCCUUAUAAUUGAAGAUCAUCCCCAUAUUCAUUAGGCGAAAGGUGAAAAGAAGAUUUCUGGUAGAUUUCAGACUACGACUGAGGCCUCAAUGCCCACUACGCGGUAAAGGUCAAGACGAUGAAUUCAUAUUCCAUAAAGAGUCAAAAGGACGGAUGCAAGAACAAGAGCUCUUUCGCGCUCCCCCACGCCCAAGGUGGAUCUUUCAACUUCUGCAUCCGGAUCAUGAAACCUAGUUUGGCCGAUUCUUUGUGGCACUUGGUCCGAGACCACCGGUACUUUUUGAUACUAAUUAGACUAAUGGUCAAGCGAGCUCCUUUCUCUCUCCUUCUCCAACUCAGUCGAGCCACUAUUCAACCUCGUCAAACUCGAUAAAGCCACUUCUAUCCUUUCCCGCUACGUGGGCGCGGAUCUGACCUUUCCUCUCCUAGCCUGAUGCUUCAAGUUCGGAACUGAACACAAGAAGAAAAAUAGUUCUUUUGAUUCCCCGCAUAUUUCAUUGCGCCUUCGGACGGACCCUUUCUUCAAAGAAAUCCGACGAAAGAAUUUAUGCUUACUCAAGCAGUUAACAAGAGGUAGUAUGGGGAUGAAGAAGCUCAAAGAAUUAUCGAAGCGCUCGGAAGGUUCCAUAAGACAGGGAUAUUGUGGGCAUGUCCCAGCUAGAAAAAAGAAAAAGAAGAUAGAAAAGACUAUUAUGCCUAACCCGUAAUCUAUCUAUAGAUAUUUAUCCUGAAAAGGGCAAGUCCCAGAUAUAGGAGGACCAAUUCUAGAUUCCAAUCUUCGUCAGGGGCAGGAAAGUGGGUCACAGUGUGUCCUUCAGCAGGCGCCGAUCAAUUCAUUCAAGAUUCCCCAUGAACUAUGAAAUUCAUUCACUCGAAUCACUCCAUAAUCCCACUGGGAGGAAAAGAGAGAGUGUCAAGGGCAGGUUCGAAGCAGCUUGACUUCCCAUAUCCAAUAGGAAGAGUGCUGAGUUAGGAGGUUUCUUCAUUAUUAGCAUGAAUUUCUCUCUGCAAUCUGUGAUUGGUAAAAACUUCCUCUUUGCUUUGGUUUGAGAUCCAUACGGACGCCUGAAUCAAGGCAAUGAAAGAGGUCGGUCGGUCUCGGCCGAGAGGUAAAGGAGAAAGGCUGGCAGUUUCCGCCGAGGUUCUUGUUCCUGCAGUCGUUCGUCUUCUUCGAUCAGCACCGCUCCGUCUUCCUCAAGACGAAAGGCUUAUUUCUGAAUUUAUGGAUCGAAAGAAGCGGCUUUCCCGGAAGGGGUUAGAAUCAAAGGAUUUCUCCUUAAAGGCCUUGUUAUUGGCCUUGGUCUGUAGAUCUGACGAUCGAUACCGAACAACUAAGGAUCUUUCAUACUCAAGAGCAAGCGCCUCAAUGAACAAGGGGUAAACAGCUCCUAGGGCGAUUGAGCGCCCUACGGCUCCCACGUAGCGGUUUGAAGCCUUGUGUUCACAUCUUUUCUUUCUCUUCUUAUCUUAGAGUUGGGACAUUACAAUCUCCUUUUAAGGGAGGCGGUAGAAUAAGUAGUUGAAGUUGCCGAGUCCGUCGCAUAGGAAGAUGCUGGAGAAGUCUAUUUUCUUCUUAUUGAAAGGUAGAGGAAGAAGAAGAAGAAAGCCCACCUUCUAACUAGUUCAUAUAGACCUUUGAAUUAUAAGGGGUCCAGGUCUGAAAAGAAGAUUUCCAAGACUGCCCCCUCCGCGGCUGAAUGAAAUAUGAGAAGGCGCAAAGAAUUUGCGAAAGAAGGCGUCACAGGUCCGAAGGACGGGGAAAUUCAGGCUGAAUGAAUUGAGUGAAAGAUUAGACAUUUGUGGAUGAACUCAUUAACGAUAAUUGUACUUUUUUGACUGAUUUUUCAUGAUUUCUUGCUACUAUAUUCUUUUCAGCUCUCCUUAUCAGUCCGGAGGAUUUCUCCGUAGGACUCUAAAACAAGGCUCAAAGAAUGAUCGUAUUCUUUCAUUCUCAUUUUGUUUUUAGCUUCUUUCAUUAUCGUUAAUGAGUUCAUUCUUCAGCACUUUCUAUUUCUUUCUCCUAAUUUGUAAACUCGAAAUCUGAAAAGAGCCUUUCUUCUUUUCUUAGAUAAAUGCGCUUCGUAGAUUAUGCUGAAGGAGGAGGACCAGCUUAAUAAGGACUUCUCUUUCAAGAUCGGCAAAUCGGUCUCGCUUUGACUUAGAUUAGUAAGAACGAAUAAUCCUACUCAUACAGGAAAGCUGCUGAUAACCUGCCCCGAAACUCAGUAGUUGAGUUCAAAAUACCUCGUUCAAUACCCUUCCCCCAUUGGGAUAGCUGCGCCCUUGAAGACCGAUCCAACUAAGCAGUCCAAAACCUCUGAUUUGGCUCCUACUCCGAGGCAAAGAACUACAAAAACGGAAAAGGGAAUAAAGAACCUACUUAAAGGAACUUACGGCAAUCAAUGAACAAAGGGUUAUGACUUUCUUAUCUUAUUCUUUCUGAACCUACUAAAGAAAGCCGCUACGUGGGGAAGAUAGAAAGACGAAAGGAAGACCUACUUAACCUACUUAAAGGAAGAGCUCCCAAUAAACCUACAGAGGGGAGCGCAAAUCAGAGUCCUUCCCCUAUUAGAUUAGAAGGACGGAAGGAAAGCCUAUCUAAACCUACUAGAGAAAGCCCCACUCCGCGGAAUAUAUGGUAAAGGAAGAAAAAGAGGACAAGACUACUCCGCUACUUUCAGUGGAUAGGUCGAAGGAAACUAAGGAUAUUCUUUCUUCCCGCUCCGUGGGCUGACUUUGGUCCUCCUACGCUUAAGAUGGGACCGGCAAGACCUUCUAUAUAUUCUUUGCGCCUGAGCAAUAUUCUUUGCACCGCGGAGUGCUUUCUUUGCUUUAAUGAAUCAUGACACAAUAUCCCUGUCUUAUGGAGCCUAACGGAGGUUCAAUUCAAUAUUCAUGAAUUCAGGCCUAUCCAUUAGAGAAUUUGACUUGCGAUUUUCGUUUUCGGAGCGAAGGCGCAAUGAAAUAUGCGGGAUAUUGAUUUGAUGAAAUUCCUCUUUUGGAUUGAUUUCUUCCUUCAUUAUGAUGAGGCAUUCAAGGUGCGCGCAGAUGGGAGGCCCCUAGUGCAGGAGCGGAAGGGAAAAGUUAGAAAGAGAGAAAAGCUAAUUCUUCUUAUUUGAAAAGAGGUGGGAAGAAUCUUAUCUGAUUUCUUCUUCUUCAUAUCUUCUUAUAAGUUGAGAAGGGCUCGGUAAGCCACUCGGCCAGCCCUUGCCAUUGAGUCUCUUUAUUAAGUUCUCAUCAGUGGUUAGAACAACCAGUGUAGGAGGAGGAAGCCCCAUCCGCCUUUCAUGAGGCAGAUUCUACAGCGAGGAUACCAUCCCGCGAACUCAUACUUACGGGAAUGGGAGCAAGACCAGACCUUGAAGUGCUUUCAAUUUAUGGAGAAGUUCUUAUCAUAAGUAAGCACGCCCCUCAUCGAAGACUUUUGGGACAUACCGAGAGGAGGGAAAGACGGAUAAAGGGCCAGCCCCCUCCGCGGGAGAGAUCGUCCGCUCUUGGCUACCGAAUUCCAUGCUUUGCCUUCUUUUUUCAUUUGAGAAAGCCGGUUCACAUAAGAGAAAGAAAGGCCUAUUCUCGCGGUGAGUAAACUCCUCAUAAUGGAUCGAUAACUAAAGGGAAUCUCCUGGUCCGACCCCAGUUUAGAUUAGAAUGCACCCAAAGCGAAAAUCCCUACCUACUUUUCGAGGGAAAAUAGAAUCCGCUUUUCGAAGCCCAUUUAUCUAAGAAAAGAAGAAAGGCGGUCGAUGAAAUUGAUCAGAGAGUUUACAAAGUAUGAAAGGCUGGAUGAAUGAGAAGGGAGUCUGGUGCAUGGGGCGAAGGAGAGGGAAAGAUCAGAGCUUUCAAAACUUAUAAGAGAGAAAGAUCAGAGAGCAGAAGUCAAAAGAAAUCUUUAGAAUAUCCUUCUCACGCAAACUCCAGUUCUUCCCGCGGAGUGGGCUUACUUCUCUUCUGAUUUCUUGAGCAGUUUCGAUCAGAAGCUCGAAGGACUUCUUGCCUAAUCAUCUUUCGAUGUACCAUUUUUAAGCCACUUUUCUAAGAAAUGAAAUGGAUCUAAAUCAAUAUAUAAAGAAUAGUAGCAAUAUUCUUUGCGCUCAUUGAUAAGGGCAAUAUUCAAAGCUUUGAGCAAUAUUCUUUGUCAAUAUUCUUUGAACCUCUGGACUAUCCCGCGUAGUGGGAUUCUUUGAGCCUCCUACGCAGCUUAAUAUGUGAGCGGGAGGGGUCCGUACUUUCUCAGUGGAAUGAAGAUUAACAGCUAUUUUUUUCCAUUAAUCAGUUGCACUCCUCGCAAUAUUCUUUGCGCCUUCUAUCCUGGAAGUCUUGGAAAUCUUCUUUGAACCUUCGGACGUCGCAUAUUGAAUUGCGCCUCCGGACCACUAUUUAAUGAAUAGCGAAUAGUCCUUCUCUCAAUGAACUUUGCUCCCCGUCGGCUGAAAUUCAUAAAGAAUGCUAAGCUAAUAUGGAUAUAAAGAACGACUAAGGACGGAGGCUCAAAGAAUUUGAAAAUCAAGGUGCAAAGAUCUAUGGCCCACGUAGCAGGAUAUUGUCUGACUCCGGACCGGUCGGACUCCCAGAAAGAAGAAAGAAGAAGAAAGUACGAAACCUAGCUUUUUAUCUCAAUCAAAGUGCCAAGAGAAGAGGCGAGAGGCCUUCUUUCUCAGAUCAUGUGAUAUUCACUUCUCGAAGAACAAGAACUUCUACUUCAAGAACCACUGAUUUCUAUCCGGCUUGGGUAGCGGCCGCGAGUGCCAUAUCUCUUGGAUCAACAAAGCUCUUUCAUUAGAAAUUGGCUAUGCAUUCAGGGUCUUCUCGGGAGAGGUCUUAUCCCACUUGGUACUGCCCGAUUUCGUUCCCGUCCGAAGGCGCAAAGAAUAUUGCCCAUAUGAACUUUCUUCCAUUUAAGUCUAUAAGGGAAUAAGAAGCUAAAGUGCGGCUAGACCUUCACAAACUGGACCUGUGGGUAAAAACCGCUACGUGGGACCUAUCGAGUCCAGCUAUGCUGAUUCGGUCAAGGGAAUCCAGACUAUUUAUUUCUUUUUCAGUCAAAAGAAGAUCAAGCUAGGCGCCCAGUAUGAAGGAAUGUAAUAAGUUUAGAAUCUUAGUCAAGAGUCAAGCGCGAACGAGAAAGAUCUCGAACUCAUCAUUCUCAGUCGAAGGAAAGAAGGCACCCAAUACUGAGGGUACAUGGCCAGCUACAGCUAACCGGAGUGGAACUGAUUUUGGGAGAGAAUAGAGAAGCAUAAUCUCGGAAGAGGACCAUACGUACUACGGCAACGGCCAAACAGAGGGCAAGAUGGUGUCUUUGCUUUGAAUAGCUCAACUGCUUUCGGAAUAUAGCUCAACCCACUACGCGGUUAUGAAGUUGAGGAAUAAGAGGCUGGUUGCCACUUCGGUGUCCAAGCUUGCCGCACAAGGACACGUUUGACACGUCCGAGAAAUGGGUUUAUAGGACCCGAGAAAGCCCCACCUGUGGAAUCCGUUGAAGAAGCAAAACAAGGUGCAAUGAAAUAUGCGUUGACUUGAGUCGAGUUUGACGAAAAUGUCAAUUCCCCACGUAGCGGUUUUUGAUAGCUGGGGAAGCAAGAAAAGAUGUAUGUCUUUUGGGUUCAUGUCUUUGUUCUCAGUGAGGAAGCUUAUUUUAUUCAGCUUGCGGCACCGGUAUGCCAGGUUCAACCCUCAUUCUCUCCUCGCAUGCUUUUUCUAUUGCGUCAGUCUUUCACAAAUCUCCUUCUUUAUGUAGAUAUAAAGGGUCCGUUGCACGGAGGGCUAGUCAGAUAGCUUCCUCAAGGAUUUCUGAGGAAACCGCCUCAAUGAACAAGGGGCAGAAAGAAAGGGAUGCCUCUUCUCAAAGUAGGCCUUUCGCCUCUCAACUCGGAAUGGACGAUCCGACGACCGUUGGAGAUUGUAAUCUUUCACGAUUCAGAUUCCCCUUUUCGAAAUCUUAUUUGACUGGCAGGAAAUCGUAGAUUUGCACUUUCAUCACUCCGAACUUGAUCCCGCAGCUUUCUUUCUCUUUCAGAUAUAAGAAGAUAUAAGGGAAAAGUAGUGCAGGUCGAGUUCUCUACGGUAGGCUUUCUUCUUUUCUUGUAUUUUUUCUACCCGUACUCAGCAAGAAAGUCGACAGACGCGCCCCCACCAGCCUUUGUUCAUUGAGGCGAGGCGCAGAAGAUGAUCGGGGCAGCACAGCAGGUUCAAAGAAUAUUGAAUUUCAUGAUCUCUGGUAUUUGUAAUAUCUGUCCUAAUUGAGAGUGUAAAGAAAAUGAACACCUCUACUUUUUAAGAGAAAGGUGCGUAGCUGCGAGUAUUUAAGAGAAAGAGAAUUACUUAAUUAUGACUUUGAUCUUUUAUUUUAAGUGCUUUCGUCUUAUUUUUAGGUUUAGAAGGCGCAAAGUCGCAUAUUUCAUUGCGCCGGAGGACCACUAUUUAAUGAAUAUGGGGAUCUGCUUCCUUAUAAUGGAUAGGACUGAGGCGCAUCAAAAGGUUGAGGAUGACCCUUGUUUUUGAAAAAAAUAUGAUGACUCAAUUCAUUCAGCCUUAAGAGUCGCUUCGCUUCGCGCACCUGGUCCGAAGGCUCAAAGAAUUUGAGGCGCAAAGUUCGGUUAAUUACGGAAAGUCCGGAGUGAAGUAGGACCAUCCGUAAUUAACCGAAGUAGGACCAUCCAUAUGGAGGGAAGGAGGACUAUCCAUUAGAAGGCAAGAAUAUACCUCUCUUUCUCCGGACCAUAAACUCAAACUAGAAGUGAUCAAUGUGAAUUUCUGGGAUAGGCUUUCUUCUUUCAUUGCCUUUUCCCGGCUUUUUUGCUUCUAAAUGUGACUUUUGUUAAUCUUGAUAUUUAACGAUAAUUGAGUGAAAAACAAGGCAUUUGACUUGAUUUCUUGCUACUUCCCUAUGGGCAAAACCUAGCAUUUUCUUGUAUUUCCCUCCGUAAAAACAAGGUUAUGAAAUCAGAAUUAUUCUUGAAUUCGAGUUAAUGAACUGAUUUUCUUUGAUUGACUUUGAACAGGUCCUUCGGCUAGGCGCAAAGUUCGGUUAAUUACGGAUGGUCCUACGGAUAAAUCACCUGGACCUUUCUUUGGCCCUGCGGACGUAGGACUGCGGACUACGGAUAAAUCCUCCGGACAGGUGACGGGGGAUUUGAGAUCAGGUCCAUAUUCACUUCUUUAUAUGGCAUCUUUCUUCAUAUAUUCUAUUGCAAAUAUAAGCUUGAUAAUAGAUAGCGCUUUCCUCAACAAAAGCAACUUUCUCAACCUCGGCCGCAAGAGAUCCCGCAACGGACCAGCCGUAGCCCUUGAUGCUCUUAGUGGAGUUGAAGCAAGAAGUCAAAUCACAUUACCGAAGAGAAGAUUACUCGUUUGGUCCAAAAAGAAAGGUCUAGAUGAGCCGGGUUGAACGUGUAAUCCCUUCCUUUAGUGGAAUCGCUAAAAAUCAGUCAAAUGGUACAUGUCCCGUGGGCGUGAGGCCUGAGAUCGUGCGUUUGGUCUAGGUCAAUAUUCUUUGAACCGCUCCGUGGGGCUAAGAGAUUAUUGAAUUAACGACUUCUCAAGAAAGGAUUUAGUUCCAACAAGAUCCAGUCCGGAGGACUAUCCAUUAUCAGGGCUUAACGGACGGCGUCAACAACAAGAACUGGGACAACGGAUGGCACACUCUCAACAUCUGGUCGAGCUACUUCCGUCCCUCUUAUGGGGUUAGCUGGCCGGCCCCUAAAGUCUUCUUUGUUCUCGAGUGGUCGAGCAUAUUCUUUUAUUCCGGCCUACUAAUUCAUAGUCUUUAGUUCUACGUAAAUUGAAGAAAGAGUUCUCUCACGGAAAGAUCUCAUUCUGCUGCCUAUAAUCCGAUAGAAGAAAUGAACAAGAACUCCAACUUCCCCCGAUACUUACAGUCGAGCAGUUGAACCCCGAUACUGAAUCUUCGCCAAUAGUUAAGUCCUCAACUGAGCUGUCCUACUCGCUCAGUCUUGUAAUUGACUCUUUCCAUGAACUUUGAGUUCUAAUCUUCCUUAUCAAUGAUCUUUGCUCCUCCGGACGACUCCUUCUAUCCUAUCCUUAUUUUACUCGAAUUAAUUAAUUCAUUGAUCAUGAAAAAAGAAAUCGGAAAUCAAAGCAAUAUUCUGAGCGCCUUGCCGCGUGAAACGUGUACGUACAAUAAGGCCUUCGCUAAAUCCGUCUCUUUGGGUCCACGUAAAUUGAGACUGAGGCUAAAAGCAUGGCUUUCCAGGCUAAAUCCUUUGACUUAGAUGUCUGAGUUUAUCCCAUACCAUAGGCUUUCUCUUUCUGGGAGUCUGAAUGGCUUACCGCUGCUUCCUUGAGUUCCUGGGCCUGCAUGCCUUUCACUUCUACGGUGGAUCCAAGAACAUUCAGAUAGGUUGCCCUAUCUCUACAGCCCCAGCAGCUCGUCUGACAACCUCCUUACGCUUCCUCUCGCCUUCUCUGGCCACAUCCGAGCUAAUGAGCGUGCGUAGCUUACGCUGCUCGUCGUCUGUGAUCUGAAAGAGAUUGAUCAGCGUCUCGUUCUUGGGGGUAUACAGCGGAGGUAGCUCACGGCCUCCGAACGAUACCUUCCCCAGGCAAGAAAAAGAGAAAGAUCGACAUCUCCAUAUGGGCCUCUUCUCUCUUUGAAUUGGACUCCUUAAGACUGAAUUCCAUCCGAUCCUUUAUCUUAUUUAUGGUCGAUCCCUUCUUUCUCGACUUCGUGACCUGUCAAACAAAGGUCCAGGCUCAAUGUCAAUUUCGGUUCAUUUUGAUUAUCGAUCAUUCUUUGAUCCUUUCAUUUCGAUCAUUUCAAUCUUCUUUGAGCGAUAUAAGGACCAUAUUAACCUGUCGUCCAGGUGACUGAUUUUUAUCCAUAUUAGAAGUCAAGACGUUCAGAUUUUCGGUUCAUUUUCAGGCUAUUUUCUUUAUCAAGCUUUAUCAGUCCGAAGGACUAUCCAUUAGACUGCACCUCGCAAUAUGCGCCUGGACCUUUGUUUUUGAAGAAAUAGGAUGACAGAAGGAUCAAUGAAAUUUGAUGAGUUUGGUCCUUCAAAGUCGCAAUAUUCUUUGCGCCUUCGCCUAACCUCUGCGGUGAGUCCUUCGGACCAGAUGAGUUUCACUCAAUGAAAAAUCAAGGUCAUCUUCAACCUUUUUUUUGAUGGGCCUCAGUCCUAUCCAUAUUAACCCAGAGAAGGAGAGGAGCGAAAGCGGCUCGCUCGCAAUAUUCUUUCAAUUCCACGCAAUAUUCUUUGCACCUUCUACGCGGUUUCUGCAGAAAAGGUCGAAGUUGAGAAUGUGGUUUUCUUGUGGCAAAGCCAUUAUUCAUUGAUUUUCUAUGCUGAACGAGAAGAAAGAAAGGCACUCUACGGAUUGCAAAAAUCAUCCUAUAAUCAGUAUUAGUUCUGGGACACUCCCAACAGCUUAGCGAACUGCUCGAACUCCCCACCACCAGCAUCGGAUGAAGCCCACGUAGCGGUAAAGGCAAGGAUAGGGGAGGGUAGCCGAUCGAUAGGAUAGAAGAAGCUUAACUGUGUAGAAUAACUGAGAAGAAAGAGAGGGUAGCUCGACAAGAUAAAGAGGUACCUUUAAGAGGAAGCUCAGAAGCUUAUUAUACUGAGUUUCGGUGUGAACUACCUCACGUAGUAUCUUUCUUUCGUUAUGCAAUAGACCUACGGUAUCGGGCAUCAUAUGCUCUCAGGGCCGAGUGCGGGUUUAGAGUAUUCUUAUGGUAAGAAGACAAGGCGUCACAGGUCCUCCGGACUGCGACUGAGGACGGGGAAUCUUGCUGGAAGAUUUCCACCUUCUCGCACUUUGCGCCUCCGGACGGGAAGAAUUUGAGGGGAGAAGGAAUAAAGAGAAAGCCUAGCUACGUGGGCCCCUAGCUUGAAGCUCUCCUUUCUUAUUGCUAGGGCGGCACUCAUCAUUCUAUUAAGUUACUAGUGGAAUCCAAGAGUCAAAAUCAUCAGAAUGGUGGUACAUGUACCAGGAUUCAUCCUUUUAUUAGAAGAAAAUCCUUUUCAAUCUUCUUUGAACCUUGGAAUGAAUAAGGAAGAGCUUACCCGAUGAGGCAUCAUCCUCUCCUUAAACCACUUAUUCCACUCGCAAAUUCUUUGCCCGAAAGAAAAGAAACUGCAUCAAGCUUAACUUCUUUCUGACUUUGAAAUCGGGAGCUUGAUUUUUCAUUGAGGCGGUCCCAGUUGUCAACUCAUCUGGAGCUUGAUUUUUCAGUUCUUCUUUCUUUUUCUGUUUAUGUCGCUGUUGAUCUUGUAGUUUCUUUGUUGAUGAGAAAUCUUGCAUCCUUUAGCUUAGCUAGACGAACCUGAUUUCAUUGACUUUGACUGAUCGAUGUUCUUGGUAGGCUUUCUCUUUCUGCCUUCUUUUCUUCUUUUUUCAUUUCCUCGGAGGCCUAAAAAGAAGUGAAUCUAUCUGGAAGUGACUCCGCUAAGCCCGGCCCUUUCUUUUCUAGGCUAGAAAGCCCUAGAAAUCAGUCCACUAGAAAGGGAUUCGUGAACAAGAGCAGCGGAAAUGGAAUAGCUUAUAUAUAGAAAUCAUUUCCCGUUCGCUCUUCUUUAAAGAGUUUAAAGAACUGGGUAGGGUACUCGAUGGCUAUUGCGCUUAUUCCUCCCACUUGGGAUACCAUACCGAUUAUCGAUUCUGAACUUAAUAAGGAUAAAAAGUCAAGAGCUCCAUCCCAGGGGUGUAUGAAAAAGUCACACCGCUCACUAAUCAAAUGCUACCCACGUUCAGGCUUUCAAAGCGCUGAGUCGUGAACAGGAAAAGCAAUGACUUCUUCCCUUCCUAAAAAAAAUGGGCUUAGUCUUCUUUCGUAGAAAAAGAAAGCUCCAGAUGAGUUGACUCGACCGCAUACAUAAGAAAGAGAGGGGCGUAGCGAGAAGACUAGGAAUUGAACUGAUAGUUAUCUACGAGCUCUUGCCACUCUACUUCUUCACUUUUGAGGAAGGGAGAAUCAUCCAUAAAAGCUGUGUUGUGUAAGUCGUGUCCUGUGCUUUUUAAUGUCUUUCUUCCGUUCCGGAGUGGCUAACUAGACCCCGAUAGCGCUAUCGCUAACCCGCUUUCUAUCAGCCUUUAAGGACCUUUUCAAGAUUGGAUUAGUGGAAAUCCCCCCCCAAAAAAAAAGCAUACUUCUUAUAAGAGCAGUCGUAAGGUAACUUUCAAGUUCACCUCCAUAGUCGUGAAUCUAUGCACAAAGACUCCUCGUAAGGAUUUUCAAAGACUGAUUCACUUCGAGGUGCGGCGCGAGCUAAGCGAAAAAGUCUUACCAGAAUACGAAUUAUAUAAGAUGCAGCAAAGAAAGCAGACUUCUCCUUUGACUACAAAGUAAUACAGCUAUUGGGAUAGAAAAUUGCAUUUCCUUGAUGCGGCAACUCUCUAUUAGCUACAUAGACCCAACGGUUAGCUAUCUUAGAAAAACCUUUCUGACUCUUGGUGGUAUCGUAUAUAAGAGAAAGGCUGCAUUUAGGAGUGAUCUUUAAGUGGAUAGGUCGGACCAGAUCUAAUGCCCAAGUCUCCCCCUGGGCAAGAAAUGGUUAUAAACUUACAAGGUCAAUGCACCCCCUUCUCCUUCCCCGGAACACUUUAGACAAAGUUCUAAUGGAUAGUCCGGAGGACCACGGAGCGGUCGGAAAUCACUCUCUGUCUAAAGUAAGGCUCGAUGAAAAAAAGAAUUCCUACAGCUAAGUUCACCUCUCUUUUUCUAUGUACUAUGCAGCCUGCUAUUCAUUCUUUUCAGCCUUUUGCCGCUCCUCACUUAGGCCGACAAGACAUCAAAUCAAGAGGAAUCGAGAAGACUAAGUGGCACUUUCUUUCACUCAAAGAAGACCCUAGCAACUUGACUAACCCUAGCUAGAUUACCAAAUCCCAUGGAAUCUACUCCUAAUGCCCAACCCACCAAGACCGCUUAUGUCAACCGAAGCAAAGUCAAGGUAAACCGAAGCAAUGCCUUAGCCAAGACCUCUUGCCAAUUCCCAGACCAGUGUAGGCUUGCUUCGCAUAGGCUACACAAGCUAGGUUCACGCUUUCAAGCCAGAGCUAGUCUUCUUCCCACUGACCGCUACUAAUAAGAUAAGACGAAGCAGUACCCACUAGUAGGUAGUGCCUUCCUCCAACGGAUAGGGGUUCAAUAGCUGCUAAUUCUGUCACAGCUUCUUCAACUCCCCCAGGGACCACGGAGCGGUAGCAGGAAUAGAUCUACUAGGCCUUGAGUCGGGUUUGAACUCCUCUCCUCUCCCUACGGUCGAGCUAUUUCAUUCCUCUCCCCCUUCUCUUUGGUUCUGCCUUUAAGAGGCCUUACGAGGGAGAAUUUCCACUGUCAAUAUUCUUUAGUAAGAUACGAAAAGAAUCCAGUCAAUCUGCGGCUCGAUGAAAUUGAGAAGGAGCGCCCACGGAUGAAAUAUUCUUUUCACCUAUUGUAAGGGUUUACGUGAGGUUCGAGAAGUGAGUAGGCUAGGAAGGAGAAUACCCUGACUGAGGACAAAGGCGAGACCUGAUAUGAUAUCCCAAGAAGUUACCUUUAGGCGGCCUGUAUCCGCUUCUCAGACGACUCGGUAAUGUGCACCAAAAUAGGUCUUUUUUCAUAUUCCCCCUAGUCAUGGGACUAUGCUACAAGGUCCUAAGCCGCUGGCUAGCUCGACCACUUUCCCUACGUUAGGGAUCGGGAGCAAGGCCUACUUCCCGGAUAGUCGGACCCCAUAUAAGAAUGUAUUCAAGAUUCCACUUUGUACGGACUUGGAUUAGAGACCUGGCAUUUGAAUGUCUGUAGGUUCACCUAUUUAGGUGGUUAUCUAGGUAGUGAUGGUAGGGUCUGGAACAAUCGGAGUGCUUAGAAGGAAGUGCUCUGGAAAGGGCUGGUUCGAAGAAGCGAGACUGUCAAAAUCAAGGUCAUCUUCAACCUUUUUUUUGAUGCGCCUCAGUCCUAUCCAUUAGACUGCCUUGUAGUCGGCCGGUAAACGUAUGGCAGAGUAUCAACCUCUUGAGAAGAAGAAGAGACCUACGGCAACCUACUUAACUUAAAGGAUAAAUAAGGGUCAGGACGUAUUGAUGAUGACGAAGACGGCCUACGGAAAGGAAUGAAGGAGUCAAAAGGACGGAGGCAAGGUGCAAAGAUCUAUGGCCCACCCACCAAUUAUAAGGGGUCCAGAUGAGAGACAGGCGCAUUGAAUAGAUUAUGCUGAAGGAGGCUCAAUGUAAUAUGAGUUGAGAAAGGACUUUCUUUAUAUAAGAGAGAAAGAAUUGAAUAAAUAGAAUAAUCAAAGACGACUCCUUCUACGGGAGUGCAAAACGGGGUCUUUCUUUCCUUCUUUUUGAAAUGCAUGAAUAAGAGUUAGAAAAGAGGAUCGAUCACUUUCGGGUCAAGAUCUAACCAUCAGAUAAAGGCUAGGAAAGCUAUCACUUUCUUCGCGGGGAAAGCAAGAACUGUCUGAUAAAGGCUAACUAAGUCGUAAUUCAGAUAGGAUGAAAUAGGGAAAGUCAGGAAUAGACCUUGAAUUUGACGGAUGCAAGUCGGACAACUGCUCUAACCUUUCUUCUAAGGCGGAUCCAAGCUUCGCCUUUACUCUUGACCAGCUACCGGCAGAGAAAAAGCUUGCCUCACAGGUACCGAAAGGGCGAGUUCUAGGUCCAUGUCGGAUUAGGAGAAAGGCUCACCCCUUGAAGUUGUGUCCGCAUACAGGCGUCGAUAGAGUAGCAGCCUCGUCCUGGUCCAUAGAGGGUAUCUUCUCCUCUGUUCUUGGGACAUGAAAAAUGUCCUGUCGGGUCCUUGACCGCAUCUUGGGAGAACUGGCCUGUGGUCUUUCUUGCCCUGCCUGUCUGCUUGCUUACACAGUGCGACGGAAUCCUUUGCUUCUGGCAUUCCUUCCGGCCCAGAUGGGCCCUGGAAGCAGGGGGUACAGGGGUUUUCCUUCCAUAACCGGUCAUUCCCUUCCAUUUCUUUUCUUUUUUGGGGUACGGGGGAUGAGCUAAGAACCAUGCAUAUAAGGUGCUGUGGGCCUAUCGCCCUCGCGGAGUUCCCCGCAGCCGCUCGUCAUACCCACAAGAGAAGGAGUAGGACGAGAGAACUGACUUCUUCAGUCUCAUAUCCUUUUUUCUGCUCUUCUUCAAUUAGAAAGCGGUGCAUUUCUUCUUCCUUUCUACUUAAAAGAUUAUAUAGAAAAAAAAAGAGUCUAAAAGAUUGUCUAUUCGAUGUCUGUAAUCAAGAAAAAUGAUGAUGAGCGAUCUAGCUUCUUCAACAUAGAAUGACUAAGAAACUGAUUGAUUUGAUUUUGACAGUCUCUCGCAAGCCAAAGCAAAGAAAAGAGAGAAUUGCAUCAUAUCAAGAAAGAUGGGAAUCUAGUGGAUGCCUUUACCUGCUUUCCUGAACCGGAUUGCUAACGUGCUUCGAUAAGUCCGAUCUCAGUCCUAGCCCGGAAAGGAGGGUUUAUGCCUCAUUUGCAAGGCAAAGAUCCCAAAUAAGAUAAGAGGAGCUUCAAAAUAGCUUAUAUGUAGAUUCAUGCACUCAAAAUUUCAUGAAAAAGCUAGCCGAGGGUUCGUUCCGAAGUGCCAAACCUUCGUGGAUUGAUCGAGUGUAGUGCACAUUCAGUUAGGUGAGAUUUUCUUAGUCUUCCAGUGUGCGAAGAAAAGAUUUGAGAUUUCAGCCUGAACGAGACCUUCGCGCGCUAACUUAUGUCAAAGUGAUGCGCCAACGUCUGCCUUGAGUCAAAACUCGCUUUCAAUCCUAAUUCGACAUCACGGAACCUGAAUUUGAGAAUCGGGUGCAGACUAGAGGUAACUCAAAGCCCUAUCCUAUCCCGAUCUCGGUCUCGGAUGAGGCGGUCAGAAGAUUCGGAGGGUGAGCUGCCACCGGUUCUCACCCCCAAGACUAGUACGGUCAGCACGACAACCUCUCGGAAUCAGUCAUACUUUUUUUGACUAGGUUAGAGAAGAUAAUGGGAAGACUAAUUACUAUCGUAGAAAGCACCAUAUCCACCGGCAUGUCUGCAAUGCCUUCGGCAUUCCUCCAAUCCCAAGUAGCUCCUUCGUUUUCCUACAAUCCUCCUUUAAUUAGUUCUCCCAUAUCCGCCCCGAAAAUCAGAUUCACGCAAUAUUCUUUGCGCCUUUCUUUUUGGAGUAUUAAGACCGCGGGAGGGGUUUGUUUGACGGACGAAUUCAUUCCCGGAUAGAUAAAUAGAAUAGAUGGAAACCCCAGCAAGUAGCAAAGCACAACCCCUCGCAAGUUGCUGCAUCGGGCUUUCGCCCAUUUAUACCAUAACCAUAAAGUGAAUGAAUUUGCAUACGAAUUCUUAGAAGAAGAACUUCUGCCUACCGCCUCCGCUACGGAUACUUCCUCUGCUUCAAGAGCUGAAACUGAGACAGAUUCCUUGUUUACGGGAAAGCUUCUAACCUACCUAUGAGAAUAGGAGUCAUAAUACCUAUGUAAACUAAGCAGAAAGGGCACGGUCUGAAGCCGACCGAAAGAGGUCAAGCAGCUGAAACUAGGGAAUCAUCACUCUCCAACUCAGCCUAUCCGGCCGGUAUUCCUAUCCUCUCCUUAAUAUUCAUGAAACUCCGCAGUCGAUACUUCUUAGUCUAUAGUCCUUCUUUUCCCUACUCUGCCUAUGAAAGGGAAACUGAGACUUCCGAUCUAUCUCCUUCUUUCUAAACCUAAUAAAUACUCAGAAAAGAAGAUUUCCGGUUUAGGGUCGCGGGUUAGCUCAUAGUUGGAUCGGUAGCAUGUUAGAAGUUAUGGUUUCUAGAGUCAGACUGUAGUAAUGGGACUAGUCUGAUGAUGGAAUUUCCUAUUUUGAUUCCGGAUUAGGAUUGCUUGUGCGGAUUCUCGUUCUCAGCACCGGUUCCACCCCCGCUCCGUCUUCCGCCUGAAAUUCAUGUAUAGGGCUCGUUCGUUCACUCGGAAGCAUGCCAAACUAAUCUCGUCUCGUAUAGAAAGAAAUCCCCCAAUUCUCUGGCCUUUUCGGGUUCAAAGAAGAUUUCAGGAAGGAGAGGCUAGGUUAAUAUGGAUAGUCCUCCGUUUUAGAGUCCUUCGGUUAAUUACGGAUGGUCCUACGGAUAAAUCCUGCGGACUGCGGACCCUGGACCUUUCUUUGAUGGUCCGAAGGCGCAAAGAAUAUAUUUAGAGUUUACAAAUUAGGAGAAAGUGCUGAAGAAUGAACUCAUUAACGAUAAUGAAAGAAGAAAAAAAUGGGAAUUCAAAAUAAAGAGGUGAAUAUGGGAGAUUUCAGACAUCGAUUUUAGUCUUUUUGACGGAGUGAAUUCCAUGAUUUUGCUAGGUUUUGCCCAUAGGAAGUAGCAAGAAAAGACAAAAAAUCAGUCAAAAUUGAUCUAUUUUCGUUAAAUAUCAAUCUUCGAAAAAGUAUGAAAAAGAAGCAAAAAAGCCGGGAAAACGCAAUGAAAGAAGAACUCCUAGGACAGGGAAAAGAAAUGAACAGAGUUUGAUUAUGGUUUCUGGUCCGGAGAAAGAGAGGUCUAUUCUUUAUUUCACUCCGUCUUCAAUCUCAAAAUCAAUGAAGGAGUACAAUGAACAUCAUAAUUCUUCUUUCAUUCUCGUUAAUGAGUUAAUUAUUCUUUUCUUUUCUUGACUUUUCACAGGUCCGAAGGACUAUCCAUAUUAACCCGUCUGUCCGGAGGACUGGUCCGAAGGCUCAAAGAAUUUGAGGAUAAGGGAUAUUGUAAGAAUAUUGCGAGAGCGGAGGACUAUUCGCUAUUCUAAAACCGGGGAGCCUUCUACUCCAAACCUACUAAAUAGCGGGACUUCUUCAUUGAUUGUCUUCAUCUUCGAUUUGAGGAUGGAAAGAGGCUGAAAGGUUUACUCACUAAUAGACCGGCCCAGUUUCAUUCAGUAGUUGGGGACAAGUGGACUAAAUUCAACUUUUCACGAGACCGCUAAGAUUAAGCCAGGAGUGGGAUCAUCCGCUUGGGUUAGGAGUCUUGCAGCAGGCCUUCUUCCUUGCUCUUGGUCUUGCAAGAUAAGAAAGAUAUCACGAUCCUGAUUCCAAGGCUAAUAUCAAGCCUUUUCAUAAACAAUGAGAUUCAAAAAUCAAUAAAGAAAGAACCAAUGUGAAAGUCAGAAAAGGUUCAAAGGGCAAUAUUGCGCCUAUCCUUCAAGAACAAUGGCCAGGACAAAGUAGCUCAUCUGGGACAACUACAUCGACGGCUAAAGCAACUACAAAAGAAAGAAGGGGUCGAAGACUUAUGCAUAGACCUGGAUCUUCCCUCCUCUCUUCUGGAUGGGGUCCUAGCCCGUCUUGUCGACUUUCCUCUUUCAGUCUCUCAUGCAUGAAAAAAUGGAAUGAAUUUGAUCGCCUCCUCUUGAGUCUGAACCGGAGGCAAGGAUCAAAGAAUUUGAAGAAGAGAAGAUUUCCGCUUUCUUUUUCGGGGCAUGAUUCUCUCUGCCCAAGGCGUCUGACUUUUGGAGAAACUCGUAGACAGUGCCUUUCCUAUCAGAAUAAUGGGCACAUUCAUACUUUGAAUUCAUCUUUUCUCGUAUUUUCCAUCCAGCCUACAAGGCUGUCCAUCAAGAAUGGUGAGUAGUUUGUUCAUCUCUUGCUCAGCUUCCUCUUGGUGGAAAUAGCUUGAAGAGCUUCUUCUUUCCCGCUCCGUGGGCUCGUCAAUGACCCAAAUAUCAUAGAAAUUCUUAGCCCCCGAGAAGUCGUUCUUUCUGUGCCCUGUAGAAUAGACCCGUAAUACCUUUGAUAGCAUCUUUCUAGGGUCUUUUCUUCUGGAGGAAGACUCGUUUUCAGAGGCCUGUCCGCAAUGAGGUUUACCGCGAGCCAGUCGAGUAGUAGAAACUUCUCCUUUCAUUCUUCUGGAGCGUACUCUUUGGGCCUCCCCUUCAUAAAAAAAAAGAUAAGAAAUCAGACUUGGAAUCAGUCUUUUCCCCCGCUACGUGGGCUUGCGCUCCUGCUGUAUGUCGCCCCACAGCUGCUUUAUGCUCUGAUAUCUUGACCAAAGCACCUUUCCCACGGGGCGGUGCUCAUCCUUUACGACGUCGAACCAGUCUGAAUACGUGGAGAGCUUCUGCAAGAGCUCCAGUCUCACUUUUCUCUUUGACCUUGAUGAAAGAUUGAAUGAAAGAGAGGAUAAUUCUAGCAUUCCCCUUUUCCGCUCAAUGAACAAAGGCGCAUAUUGGUCGAUUGUUCAAGAUUUUUUCAUUCAUCCAGAGCUUGAUUUUAGCUGCGUCUUUUCCCUGUCUGACUCGUAAACUCUCUUCCUCUUCUUCAACAGAUAAUGACUCUCAAUAUUCUUUUCACCCCGUCCGAAGGACUAUCCAUUAGGGAAUAUUACUUCUUAUUGUGCAAAGAAUAUUGCGUCGAAAGAAUAUUGACAAGACUGGAAGGAUAGAAGAAUAUUGCAAAUAAAGGCUCGGCUUUCUAUUAAGGAGUGCAAGGCGCAAAGAAUAUUGCCGCAUCUUUGCAACAACCCACGGAGCGGUAAGCCCACUACACGGGAAGAAAGAAUAUCUUUAGCUGGCGUGAGAAAGCGGAAAAUUUUCUGACUCAUCGAUCAAUAUCCGAAGUAUUAGGUGCAAAGAAUAUUGCGUGGAAAAAAAAGCUGUUAAAUAGCAGCAUAAAUAAGGAGUCGAUCAAAUUAAGGCUUCGGACCGCUCCAAAAAACCUCUGCGGUCAGUCCUUCGGACCAGCUGACUCUACCCUAACGUUAGGAGCUUUGAAUAAGACCGCGUAGUAUCCAUUAGAGAAUUUGACUUUGCGUGAGUUCCACUUUUUAUGAGAAUAUUGCGUAAUCAGUCCGAAAAUCAAUGAACUUUGCUCCGUCGCUAAAUGAACUGCUCCGUCCUUUCUAAUGGAUAGUCCUCUUAUAACUAAAUGCGGAGGACGGGCUCAAAGAUCCUUUUUAGUGGACGCUACUUGAUUAUGGGGGGAUGAGACUGAUUUAUCCAUUGAAUAUGGGGAUGAUCUUGGAGAAAAUCGGUCCGGAGGACCAGUCUCGCUAUUUCAUAACCUUUUGAGCUCUUUCUUUGCACUCCCUCUCGUCUUCUUCAGUAUUUAUUAGGUUCAUGCUUCCCUUCUAGCCUUUUCUUCAGUAUUUAUUAGGUUCACGCUUCUAACCUCAUAAAUUCACUCUCACCUAACUCCUCUCCGCCCCGUGGGAGGGACUUCGCUCCUCUCGUUCUAGAACUCAGUCGAGCUCCUUCUAUCCUUUUUAUAAGAGUCAAAAAAGAGUAAAUAAGAGAGUCUUUUCUUGUCAUGGGACAUGGAAAAGUCUUCCCCUUUCUAUUUGGUAAAGAGAGAUAGAUCCCCUACCCCCGUACGGAUGAGGCAUCCUCUUUCAAUGAAAAGAUUCAUACUAUUUUCUCUGGAAGAACAACUGACUCAGCAACUUCUGAAACAUCUCCUUUAACCCUAAUACAUUGUCUGAAUGUAUUCUCUCAUUGGGAAUCUUGAAGUUAAUAUGGACUAAAUCAAAGCUUUUUUUUUGGAAGGCAAACUCAACGCAAUAUUCUUUCUUUGCGCCUCUGCGGUCAGUCCUUCGGACCAGCUGACUCUAAAGGAAAUUGAUUCUCUGCACUCCUUUCCUUCUUUUCUUAGAUAAAUGCGCCUCAACUCAUAUUACAUUGAGCCUCUUUCUCUCGUCUUUUUUCUUAUAAAAACUGAUAGUCCUUGCACUCCGUCCUCUUGACUCGUUUUCUCUUCUUAGAUAAAUGCGCCUCAAAUUCUUUGGCCCUGCGGACUCCGGACUCCGGACUACGGAUAAAUCCUCCGGACCUGUGACGCCUCCGGACGGGUAGAAUUCUCCUUUCUCUCUCAUAUACGAACAUUAGUUAGGCUAGUCUCCUUCGAGAAAAUCUCACUCUUAUUCAUUCCAUGAAAUACCAGCAAGAGACCGUGUAGUGGGCAACUCGGUCCUGAGAUCCCUCACUCAGAGCUAAACUGGACUUCGCUGACCUCCGAGACUGGGACUAUUUCUUUAUGGAUCUUCAUUGAUCAUAGCAUAGUACUUCUUCUUUAUUAUUCUUCGGCAAGAGAUAAUGAAAGAGAGGAUAGGCUGACGAGGAGGGUUAGCCUAUGAAAUCCAAUCAGAAAAAUCCGGAACGGAGACAGCUUCCGACACCUAUCGGGAGAGCCGAGGGAUGAGUUCUUAUGCUGCCGAUUGAAAGAGAUCAUAAUGCUUAGGAAGAAGGAUACAGGAAAGCUGCUUCCGACCGAUAGCAGACUCCCUUCUAACCUCUUCCGCAAGAUCUCAUACUCACUGAACCUAUGAAAGAUCUCAUUCCGAUUGAUCUUCCCUGUAUUCCGAUCCUUAUACAGUCGAGCUACUGCAUAACCUAUCCGAUACAGUCUCAACUUUCACUCAGUCGAGCUACUUCCUUCUAAGUCUAUUGCAUAACCUCUCCUUCUCAUUCUAACUCCACUCAUUUGUAUAAUAAAGUCUUCCGAUUCUUCUUUCGUCCUAUUCAUUUUGGAUAGCUGGAUAGCUUCCCCUUCCCCUCCAAGUAAAGCAUAUGAAUACCUCUCAAGCCUAUCUUGCACUUUUCUAUCUCCUUCCCAGUCAGAACAAGGAAAUGGUCUCUUCUCAAUUUCAUCGUCUAUGGAUAGUCGGACUGAUUUAUUCCAUAUAGCCUUUUCUUCCCGUCGGUCUUGUCAAUAUUCUUUUCACCUCCACCUUUGUACGAGCCGCCGAUACCGCUCGGCCUCUCUCGCCUAUCUCCUCUGCUUAUGGUGGUGGGCAGUCCCUAGCCUGGGGAGUCCUCAACCUCACUAAGUAAACUCUCUCUCUCCUUUGAUUGAAUCUUGGACUGACUCCUAACCGCUCCGUGGGCCUUUCCUUUUCCCUCUUUCUUCAAGUUCGGGAUCUCCUCUUUUAGUUCGCCGAUACGAUACAGGAGAGUGCCUUCUUAGUCUUUCUCUUACCUUUCUGCGGAAAGAGAUCAAUGAAAUGGAUUUGACUGAUUACUAACUAAAUUCCCUUUGUCUAUGUGCUUACCGGAAAGGUCAAGUAAUUUAAGCGAUCUCUCUCGUGGCCUCGCCCUUUCUCCCCCGAUAUCAGGUGGGGUUCCCUGAAAGGAAGGGAGAAUUCCUAUUCAACUGGAACUGCCACACUGCGACUUAAACUUCCUCAGCGACAUCUCAUUCCAAAGCUGCUGCUUCUGCCGCGGAUGAAACUAAACUGAAAAGAGAGCUCGUCCUUCUCCUUAAUAAUUGGGCCUCCGAAUCCAGGAAGGAAGUUUGAAGCGCUUUGGCUUUCUUCCAGUAAAAUCACAGUAUUUUCCACCUUUAGGCUUUCUUCUUUUGAUUAAUAUAUAAGGCAAGCACUUCCCUUGGGCAAUAGCUGCGCCAACUUCCACUCGAAAUGCAACUAAAGCGAGGGGUGCCCCAGAUUCUAUGCAGCCUCAUUCAUUGAUCUAUUUUGAUGCCUCUUGCCUCUUGUCGAGCCUUUAUCCUCUACUCUCGAGCCUUGAAGGGGGAAGACCGGGCAAGGGAAUUCUAUGAAGGCAUCCACGGAUCACAAGAUUAUGUAUUUCUACUGUUGUAUCUGAUUUUUCUUUUCAGUCUCAGUCAGCGAAUUUCUUCUUUGCGCUGUAACGGGAUCCCACUACUAGGUAUAUGAAGAAUGGCUUUUUGGUUCGGAUUCGCUCCUUUCUUUCCCUAGGCUUUCUUCCUACUUCCCCCUAAAAUAAAGGCGGACUUCUUUAUGGAACUGAAGCCUUUCUCCUAUGGUCUUUUUUCUUAUCUAAACGGAUUCUCCCGUAGGUCUCCUUCCUGAACUUCCUCCCACUCCGCCGUUGGGGAGGUUCUACCUCCUAUAUUCUGCCUCUUUUGGGGUGUCCUGUGCGAGCUCCUGUGCACGAGCCGUGUACCGCUACGUGGCUUACUGAUUUCUUCAUAAAUCCGUAUUUGAUCUUCUUCAUGAAUCUACUACCAUAUUAGAAAGAUUAGCUUAAAAAGAAGAAAAGCGAAUCUCAACCCCGGUGUGGGAAGGCGAACUUCUGAAGGCACAACUACUGCUUUGUCUGAAAGAAGAAGAACUGGGACGAGGUAUGGGCCUGGCUUUGAAAGAAUGGGAAAAUGGGGUCGAUCCUUACUUUGCAUGCCAUGAGUUAGGGAAAAUGCGCAAUUCAUUUUUUGGCCUCAUCCAAUCCGAAAUUUCCUUAUCAAUGAGACGUCCGGAGGCGCAUAGAAGGACUUUAUCAUUCUUUUUCUUCCUUUUCCGACUCCGUAGGCUUUCUUUCUUUUUUAACUCACUGAAAAAGCGUGGGCUUUCACUUCUGACUCUUACCCGGUCGAUGGGGUUCCUGGAGGGAGAUACUUCUGACUCAACUGAGAAUUCCUCUUUAUUUCUUGCUUCUGCCGAAACUGGUGGAGUUGAUUAAGUCGGUCGUCAACUCGUCGUCUGGUACGCUUUCUUUCUUCCUCAACAUUAAUAGUGAGCGCUGACUCUUCCCUAUCGGGUAAGCCGUUGUUCUCCUAAUUAAGGGGAUAGAUAUUCAUACUUCUCCAAGAUAGCUGGCAUAGAAAGUUCUUUAUUCCUUCCCUCUUCGGAGACAUUCCUUUCAACUCCAAGAUCUCCUCCACGAGGUUAUUCAAGGGAUGAGGCUGCUGAUAACCUCUUCUAGUCGACUUCGCACCUUGCCUUUCCCGCCGGCCGAAACAGAGACUGAGAAAGGGGUUUGAACGUUGAAAAAGAGUCCUUUCGACUAAGAAAGAAGCAUUGACAUUACAAUCCCACUCAAUAGAGAAAUAAGAAAGACUAGAGGCCAAAGAGAUCUCUCAGCUUACCGAUCUCAGAACGGAUCGAGCGGACUUUCGUACCUCGUAUGGGAAUCUUUUCUCAUAUACAAGAUUUCUGAUAUUAGCUUAAUCCUCACUCAACUCUUUCAACCUCUGGGACAAGAACUACAACUGCUGUGUCUCGCAUUUCUCGAAGAACUGAGAGUGGGCCUGACGCGUGGGCUUCCUUCGUUUAAUUACAUCGUUCCGACCCCAUAGAAGGCUGAUUAUCUGACAUAGGAGGCUGAUGCUCGUUCAGCAUUUCAUAAUAGAAUAGGGAAUCUUUUUCUAGCUUUCUUUUUCGGUUACUCAUGAAAGAAUGAACCCCCUACCCAACUAAAAAGCUACUUUUUCUGCAACAACUACCACUACUUCUUUGUCUUCAACAAGAAGAACUGGGACGAGGGAUCCCUUUGAAGGGGGAACUUCCACUUCUCCUGCUCCUUCUGCUAAUGCAACAAGAAAAGCUAGAGCAAAUACUUGAACUUCCACAACGAAAGCGAGAGCCGAAACGGAAACUACUGAUUCCGCAUCCUACUAGUUUCUUAGUCGAAAAUAGAGUGAAGUUACUCGGAUUCAACGUGAAAACACAAGUCAAAUUCAAAUAGUUCCAACACCACGCAAUAUUCGAUAAUUCAGGCCCACUCCGCGGUGCCAUAAGACAGGUCCGAAGGACUAUCCAUUAGGGAAUCUUGGAACUGAUCUUGUCCUUAUCAAUGAGACCACUCAAAGGGUAUAAUAUCUCACAUCAGAAUUCGAUAAAGACCGACUCCACUCAAAUUCUUUGAGCCUUGGAUGAUAGGUCAUUGUAUUCAGUCUUCUUUUAUGAAAAGGUUUUGUGGUCCACCCACGAAUGAAUAAGGAAGCUCUUUAUGAAAGCAGAAGCUAGACAGAAAGCAUAGGAUGGGCUCGCGGGUAGAUCUUGAUCGCCGGCCGAGUGAAAUAGAAAUGGGAGUGAUCUUUCUCGGCGGAGGUUAGACAAAAGGGAAGAUCGGAGAACAUCUUUCAUGAGAAAGUGAACUCAUUCUUUGCGGGGUCCGACUGGGCUAAGCCUAUUUACCCAAAAGAAUGGGAAAGAAUGAGCGGAAGAAGAAAGCCCUUGGUCUUUUCAUGAUCUCUUUCGGAAUAAGCCUCAGACUGAAAAUAAACUAAUCGAAAAUCUUACCCCGCACCGGCUUACGCUUGAUUUUGAAAUAAGCUUCCGUGACACAGCUCUUCUUCUUCCCUAUUCAUACUCAGCAGCUACGGAUGGGAUGCCUAUUCCUCACCUAGGAGUGGGACGGGUCCAACCCUUCUUAUUCAGUUACCGAUGUUACCGAUAAAACCUCAUAUGGGAAUUGAGUUCUAUGAAGAUAUCGAAAAUGGUAUGAUUCCCACUCAGCUACUUCAGAAACGGAGGAUAGAGGAAGAACCGACAGCUACUGACUCUAAAGUCGAGCUACUUUCUUCCACGAAAGAACCUAUCUGGCCGGGCGAUUAGCUUCUUUCUUGAGAUCCCUCACCUCUCCGAACCUGGGACUUCCUGACUAUACCCCCUAAUUCAUUAGUCUUCUCUCUUCUUCGAUCGGGUCUUUCGUGAUCAAGUUCUUAGGAAGCAAGAAUCCAGGAGAAAGCGGUUCUGAGAUCGGGGGGAUGUAAUUGAGUGAGACCUACAAGCGGUAUGAGUCCCAAGGCAAGUGGCUGACAACUAACUCUAUCAUAUAUGUCCCAGAACAUUCUUUUGCGCGUCCCGGGUUAUUCUUUCCGGGAAAAGGUGGAAUAUCGAGAGAGGAUCUACGAGGCGAGCUUUCUAGUAGGGUUGGAGAAGGAGAGGAGGCAGAAAGGGAAAAGAAAGAGUGAGGAAGCAGCGAGAGCUAAAUAUAGGCUCAAUGAAAUAUGAGCAGAGCAAAAAGAAUCAAUAUCCCCGUCCGGAAGGAACCCACGUAGCGGUUCCAACCUAGGAGGGGGACCGGGAACAUGUUCAUAUUCCAUCAAGAGGUCCGGAAGUCAGGUGGAAUAAAUUAGUCCAAGAAGUUCAUGGAGUGGAAGAAAGAGUCCAACAAGGCGCGUCAAUAUCCUUUGCUCCUAACCUCUGAUUUAUGGGACUCCUACGGCAAGGAAGAAAAUCUCCUUAAAUUAAAGGUUCAUAUUCCAUCAAGAGUCCAACAAGGCGCGAAGCGAAGCGACUUCUACGGACUCCUACGGCAAGGAAGGAAAGCCUAUCCGAAGGAGCCAUAGGGGUCGAAGAAGAGAGACUGCAUAAACUCCUAAACCUACUAGAAAGUCAGAUAUGGAAUUAUAAGACUCCUCCGGAGGCGCAAUGAAAUAUGCGUGAGAAGCGAUUGAAGAAGAUAAGCCUUCGGCUGGAGCGCAAAUCUCCUCCUCCGCGAAGGAGCCGUCUUUUUUGCUUCGAAAUGGGUUGUCGAUUUAUUCGACUUUUGCUAUCAUGUCAAAAACCAUUGAUUUUCGCUUCAACGCAAUAUUCUGCAUUGAGCCUAUAGCCAAAAGCAUGAAAAAUGGGGAUUAGACCUAGGAUUCCACGCCCCUCCCAUCCACCCCUUUCACAUGAAAACUAGGGGGGUUGAGUCGGAUUAUGACUUUCAUAAGUCAACAAGACUAAGCAGUAUCGACGGCAAAGGAGAUAGGUUAGUGGGCUCUGCCCUUUCCUUCUUCCAUUUCAUAAUCAGAGUAAUCUUUUUCACAUUUCAGCAGCCUCAUCCCUUUCCGGUAACAGAAGGAGGGGGCUUGGGUCUUGAGUUACGAGGUCACUCUUGAAUUAGAUCUUUCGUAAAGCGCUCUUACGUGGGAAAACGUAGGUUCAAAUCCUACAGAGCGUGGUUCUUGAAUGAGUAAAUGAGCUAGUUGACCACAAGGAUUUAGAGAUUUCUUUGCCGUCAACUGAAAGUAAAGUUCAGAUAGAUCGGCCGCUCGACGACUCAGGAUGUUAUGCUUCGUUCUCGAUCCUCUGCUUCAACCGCUACGUGGGCCGAGAUUCUUUACGGAAUCACACAAGUUUUCUGAGCCGCAGCAGAUGAGCAAGAAAGAGUUGAUGAGUAAGUCAGAGAAAGGCAGGCCCUUCAUUAGUCAAGGGAAUGAGAGGUUUCGAUCGGCAUAUGUUAAGCAAAUGACAAGCUAAAGAAAAGACCCAUGAAUGAGGAAAGCCAGCCCUCCUUUGGACUGACUAUCCACUUAGGAUAGGCUUUUCUUCUUUUGAUUCCAAAUAGUAGGCUUUCUCAAUAUUCUUUGAACUGGUGUCAUAUGAAAAAGACAGGAAGAAAGCGCGUAAAAGCACAUUUGACUCACAAAGAUAUAUGUGAAAUCGGCUCGUUCAAAGUCGCAAUAUUCUUUGGGCCUUCGUAGCUUAAUAAUGGGGAUCUGGUCUCUCAAUUCACUGCUCCGUCGGAGUCAAAAAGAAAGAAUCUCAUCGCCUCAAUAUCCUUUGAGCCUCGAGCAAGGAAUAUUGCGAAAUCAGUCCCACUAUUUCAUUAUAAGGGAGGGGUAUGAAAAGAGAAGUUGUCUAGGGAAACCCUUCUGCUACGGUCUAUUUUCUACCGCGGAGUGGGGAAAGAAAGACCCUAUUUGAGUACUUCUUCCUCAAAGUGGAGGAAAGAAAGGCGCCUCUCCUUUACAGUCUCCCCUAUUCAAACCUGUCUUUCCUUUCUCGUGAACGCGACUCGAUAAAGCUUCUUUAAGGUGGGGAGCGGGUCCGCUUACUCUUGUUGUGAGACAUCAUCUGCACCCUUCUUUUUAUUACCCCUAUCCUAUGCCGAUUGGGUACUUUACUUAUUCCGAUCGAUCUUUGUGCGACCUUUCUACAUUCCUUGUGGCUUGAGAGUUUUCCUGUGAUAAUGGAGGGAUCCAAUUUCCCCCUUUUCACGUCAAUAGUCUUUUCGACUAAGACUCAUAAGAAAGGGUUACAAACUCAGUCAAAAGAGUGCAAAUGGGAAUACCGAUCGAAGGAAAUCAAGAACUAAUACUUAGAAAGCGGGUGGACAGCUUGUUCUGCAACCAACGACGGCGGAAACGGGGACUUGAAGGAAACUGCCUUUGCCCCUAGCCUUUCUCUUGAAGUUGGAGUUGGGAAAUCCUUUUCAGCCUUUGAACUUGAAUGAGGCGAUAGGGGAAGGAAAGGCCGCUUCUUGGUCGAUUGAUUCAGUGGUUGGAAUCGGGGCAAGCAGUUGAUUUUCAGUUUGCAUCUCAUUUUCCCAAAGGCUGAUUUUGAGAUGCGAGACCGCUCCGUGGGUUAGAUCUUGAGGCUGAGGAAUGAGACCGAGCCCUUUCAUGAGACAGGAGGAAGAGGAAGUGAAGCUGAUCGACUGCCCACUACGCGGAUCGGAAGUGAAGCCGUUGAAGCUCUUUCCAUUGCGGCAGCUAGACCUACAAUACGACUUAUGAAUAAAUAAUCAAUCAAUCAAGGUAACUUAAUAGAAAGCGAUACGGGUGGCCAUAGAAUUUCUUGUAAAAUAGAAUAACCGUUCUCAUGAUAAGUCUCCGUUGCUGCUAGAUCAGUAUUUUGAUGAGUACGAAAAGAACAAGGUGAAAGUUCAGUCAUAAAAGGAAAGCCUAUCCUUAAGCUUGAUAAAGAAGUUAAUAUGGAAAUGAUAAGUGGAUUUAUAGCUCGCAAUAUUCUUUGCACCUUUUCAUGCUCCUCAAAUUCUUUGAGCCUCCUAGAAAUGAACUUUGCGACAAGCCCACUCCUCCUUCAGCAUAAUCUACGAAGCGCAUUUAUCUAAGAAAAGAAGAAAAGAAGAAAGGAGUGCAAGCGAAAACUAAUGGAUUGAAUAGUCCUUCGGACGGAUACCGGGCCUGUCUUAUGGCGCCUCCGCUAGGUGCAAAGAAUAUUGCGUGGAAAAUCAAAGUAUGAAAUCCGCUAAAAGUCGCAGCCGCUUAAUAACCGAAAAGUGAAGACUCUUAAAUAGCCGCUUAAAAAGUAUUAUGGAGAAAAAAAGCUGUUAAAUCACUGACCGUCGGAGGGAGCGGGACAAGGCAAAAAGGUUUGAAUUGAGAUUCAAGAAGACGGAGCGGAAUAAAGAGGUUAAUAUGGAUAUAAACAAGUCCUUCGGACGGGAAUAGGUUGAAAGUCCAAGAAAUGAAAUGGAAUUCAGAGGUCCCAUAACAAAAACAAAGAAAAGUCCAAGAAAAGAAAGGAAAGGCGCUGCUCAAGAUUCAAAGCCUUUUUGAAGGUUGAAAGUCCGACGCCUAGUAGUAGGAUAAGGACGUAGAAGGUAGUAGUAGGAUAGACUUUACGAAUUCUUCCUCUUCCUUUCCUUUCAUCCGCGUAGUGCUUUCUUUAUUUCAAAGUCUUCCGCUCCGCUUCUUAACUUCUCUGUAUCAGAUCGCUUAUGCAGUAGCUCUUUGACCGCGAAAUGAGAGGCCGGUCUGAGAUCGAAGACUGACCACACAGGUACAUUGGCUCGACUUCCCGAUAGGAAAGAAUGGCUUGUUUGCAGGAUCUUUUUAGAAGAUAGAAUAUCCCCGUCGUCAAAGAAAGAGAACUCGUAGAGAUAGAGAUUCUUACGGAAGAGGUUUCUAAUAGAGGAGGGUAUUAGCUUGCCUUUCAUCUUCUUCUGUUGACUGGAAGAGAUAGCCGAAAGGCAUCUUUGAAAAAGGUAAGGAGAUUCUGCCUUAAUGCAGUCAAGUUUUCCAAUGCAUUUCUAUAGAAAGCAAAUCAAGAUCCAUUCUGAUCUCAUUCUCGCGUACAGACAACCCUAAGAUCGAAAAGGAAGGACUACGGGGGACUCUCUCAACAUCUAUCAGUAGAGCUAUCGCUAAGCUUUCUUUCAGUCCCUUUCUUUGGUUAACAUGCUUUCAGGCUUGCCAAUAGAUGAUAGAAAAUCUUCAUCCUUCCUCAAAGGAGUGGAAAGUCUCUCCUAUAGCUGGACACUUGUCUACUUUUUCAACAAAGAAAGCCACGGAGCGGUGGUAGUGGAGAUGUUCCAGGAGGCUUCGUUGCUGCUACCCACAAUCUCUCCCAUUUCCAGGAUCAUCAAAAGAGAGAUCGGCGAAAGUGGUCAUUCUAUCUAAGCGAAGGCGCUUAGCAAACUCUGCGGCUCCGGGGAGAACUGAAAGAUUUUCCAAUACCAAGAGCAGCUAGAGCUCUACUAAUUGAAUAGGGGUGGCGAUUCCCAUCUAGCUUUACGACGAAAGUUCUCAUUUUGUUCUGUCUCAUGCAUGAAAUGAGAGAUCAAGACCAACUGCGCCAGUUUUCCAACUGAGAAUUCCUCUUUCAGUCUCUCAUGCAUGAACAAAGGGAAAAAGAAAGGGCGAAGGCGUCACAGGUUAAUAUGGAUAGUCCGGAGGACCUGUGAAAAGUCAAUAAAAGAAAAGAAGAAUGAACUCAUUAACGAUAAUGAAAGAAGAAAAAAAUGGGAAUGAAAAAUAAAGAGGUGAAUAUGGGAGAUUGAAGAGCUAGAUUUCAGAUGAAUCCGCGGAGGGAAAUCCCAGAUUUUGCUAGGUUUUGCCCAUAGGGAAGUAGCAAGAAAUCAUGAAAAUUCCUUCUUUUUCACUCAAUUAUCGUUAUUUAUCAAUAUGAGAAAAAGUCCUAUUUAGAAGCAAAAAAGCCGGGAAAUUGCAACUGGUCCAUUAUCAAAAUCUAGGUCAAAGAAAUGAACAUUGAGAACUUCUAGUUUGUGUUCCGGAUACUGAGAGGUCUAUUCUUUAUUUCACUCCAGGUGAUUCAAUCAUAAUGAUUCUUUCAUUCGAGUGAAUGAGUGAAUUCUGCUUUCAUUCUCGUUAAUGAGUGAAUUAUGCUUUCAUUAUCGUUAAUGAGUGAAUUAUGCUUUCAUUAUCGUUAAUGAGCUUCUUUUCUUGACUUUUCACAGGUCCUCAGUCCUAUCCAUAUUAACCCGUCUGUCCGGAGGACAGGUCCGAAGGUGAAAUCAAUGAACAAGGGAUUUCCACUUCAAAAUUCUCGAAUAUUGCGUCUUUGAUCAGCGGCUUUCCAGAGGCAGUUCGUACUCAGCCAUGAAAUCCAUAUUCACUCUGCCCCGUGGGAAGCUUGGGAUCGGCGGGUCUUGAUGGUGAUGGUAUUCUUUGAAAGACAGUUGCGGCUGAUGCGGCUGACGACGCUGACAGGUAAUUAUCAGUUGAACCUAGAAAGGAAGCAGCUCUCCCCUCGAGUCUUGCAGCUGAGUGGAAUGAAAUAAUCCCCGAUCUUUUCGGGUAAGAAAAGCAGACAGAUUCCUUUCCGAGUGAGCAUAGACGAAUAAGGAAGGGUCGGAUGGGGUAGUCUUAGACGUACCGCUACGUGGGAAUUUGUAUUUCAAUAAGCGGGCGAGUCGCCUGCAUUCUUUAUCUUCCCUUUCGAAAGAGAGAAUGAAUAGUUCUCAGGGGCCCAUGAAAGAAGAAGAGCUAAGCAACUUCUGCUGGAAGAACUAAAGCAACUGGAAGAACGACUGCUACAGCUGAAACUGCUGAAAGAGGGCGAGCUUUUCAAUAAAGGGGCGUGAACCCCAACUUCCCUUUCCUCCCCACGGACUUAUUCCUCUUUUUCUUAUGCUGCUCUUGGAACCCCAAAUCCACUAAUAAGCAAGAGUAAGUAGGCGAAAUCUCUGAAAAAGGUAUUCAUUCUUUAUAAGCUCCACAGGUCUGAGACCGGUGCUCAUAUCUUUUUAAAUGAGUGAAAGGACAUCACUAAGAUCUACGAUAAAGAACUCGAUUUGCACUCCGGUCAAAGCCCUUUGAACUCCACUAUUAAUGGAUAAACUAAUGGAUAAAGAAGUCCCACUAUUUCAAGUCAGGAGGUCUUGAACCUACGGCAAGGAAUGAACGAGUCAUCUGGACCUUUCUUUUUGGACUUGAAUUGCUUAACACAUGAAUUCCGAUAAAGACUACCUACUUAAAGGUUUUUAUGAUUGACUUUACAACCUACUUGAAAGGCAAGGAAUAUAAGAGAUACUAAUGUUUUUAAAAGACUCUUAUAAAGACCUCCGGUUUUUAGGAUUUAGAUAGACUAUUACUACCUACGGCAAGGUUCCAAUAAGGGUCAGGACGACCGGUCCGAAGGACUAAAUAAUCCGUAGGAGGAGUCUUGUCUUCUCCUGAAAGCCUAGUGGAAACCUAUUAGGCCAUAAACUUCUUCCAUUAUACUCGUUCAAACCACUAUUUUUAUAAUAGAUGAGAGUUCUCCACUGAACCUGAUUAUACGAGAAUGAAGGAAGGGUAGCUUUCUUACUCAUCAAGAAUCGGAACUAUAGGUUUCUGCUUUCCGUCGGCCUUUCUUUCGUGAAAUCAGUCUGUGCCAUUGAAAUCGGAACUGCUGUUAGCAGGCUAGGGCAGUUGAAUCCCUCUCUUCUUCGAUCGAUAGGG